AAAGAUGGGGAAACCUUUAUUUUUUCUGUUGAUCUGGAUUCCAGAUUUAUCAGCUUUAAUAUAGAGAAUUGGCCAGAAACGAUCUUAAUCUGAAGUCCAGCCUAGAACUGGUUUCAGAAACCUAGGUAUUGACAGUCCCUGAUUACUUGAUUCAGAACAUGCAUGAAUUGUUGGUCCUGGAAGCAUGAUUGCUGGCAUUGGGCCUGCAUAAAAGUGCCAUGAAGUCUGCUUAAAUCAGUGCAAGGGUAAGAUUGGACUUUAUGGCAUUGCUUACAUAUACCAUUGCGAAUAAUAUCUGUUAUUUCUGCUCCCUUUCUCCAUGGUUUCAUAGUUGAAAAUAUGCAUUGCAUAGGUGCGAAAGCAGAACCAUGUUGGCGUCCCAAAGCCAGUUAGAAUGCAUUCCUUCCUAGUCCUUUCUUUCAGUUUCCAUCUUAUGGAGAGUGAAGUCCAGGAUAUUAUGCUUGUGUAUAAACAAAACCUUUGAAUUUUAAAGCUUUCAUAGUCUGUUCCAAUAUGUUUUUCUCUAUGCUCGUUAACGAAAAGAAAAGUAAAAUAUCCUGCCACAUACUGGAACAGACUAUGAAAGCUUUAGAAUUCAAAGGUUUUGUUUAUAAUCAUCACUGCUCAAACUGAAAUUUAGCACAUGCAGGGAUGGCCACAGUCAAUAUGUAGCAGAAAUUUAGGGAUGACCACAGUAUUAGUAUUACGUAGAACAGUACAAGAGUCAAAGAUUCAGAUCGUGCUACAAUCAUCAGUGCUCACGCUGAAAUUUAGCACAUGCAGAUAGACAGAGUUGAACAAACCACAUACUCUGGCAAGACCUCCCAGACCAAGACCUAGAUCAACUGCUCCUACUAUACUCCGGCAGUGAUCUCACCACGCCGUAGCAUACAUACCCCCAGUCAAUUGCCGCCGCCGCGUCCUCCGCGUUGCCUCCCGCCGCGGAACCCUGCGCGCGCGCCCCAGCCGCCGUGGUCGCCUCCAAAGGCCCCACCGCCUGCUNNNNNNNNNNNNNNNNNNNNNNNNNNNNNNNNNNNNNNNNNNNNNNNNNNNNNNNNNNNNNNNNNNNNNNNNNNNNNNNNNNNNNNNNNNNNNNNNNNNNACUAGUAGUGUUGAUUACUCUUUGUAGUUGAUGCUAGUUGGGUUACUUGGUGGAAGAGUUUAUGUUCAGAUCCUUGAUGCUAUUCAUUACACCUCUGAUUAUGAUUAUGAUUAUGUUUUGUGAGUAGUUACUUUUGUUCCUGAGGACAUGGGAUAAGUCAUGCUGAUAAUAGUCAUGUGAAUUUGAUAUUCGUUCGGUAUUUUGAUAUGUUGUAUGUUGUCUUUUUCUCUAGUGGUGUUAUGUGAACGUCGACUACAUAACACUUGCAUAUUUGGGCCUAGAGGAAGGCAUUGGGGAGUAGUAAGUAGAUGAUGGGUUGCUGGAGUGACAGAAGCUUAAACCCCAGUCUAUGCGUUGCUUCGUAAGGGGCUGAUUUGGAUCCACUAGUUUAAUGCUAUGGUUAGACUUUGUCUUAAUUCUUCUUUUGUAGUUGCGGAUGCUUGCGAGAGAGGUUAAUCGUAAGUGGGAUGCUUGUCCAAGUAAGGGCAGUACCCAAGGGCCGGUCCACCCACAUAUCAAACUAUCAAAGUAACGAACGCGAAUCAUAUGAACAUGAUGAAACUAGCAUGACAGAAAUUCCCGUGUGUCCUCGGGAGCGUUUUUCCUCCUAUAAGACUUUGUUCAGGCUUGUCCCUUGCUACAAAAGGGAUUGGGCCACUUGCUGCACUGUUGCUACUACUUGUUACUUGUUACGUUUCGCUUGCUACGUUUCACCUCGCUACACCAUCACUUGUUACCGCUACUUUCAGUGCUUGCAGUUAUUACCUUGCUGAAAACCGCUUAUCAGAGCCUUCUGCUCCUCGUUGGGUUCGACACUCUUACUUAUCGAAAGGACUAUGAUUGAUCCCCUAUACUUGUGGGUCAUCAAGACUCUUUUCUGGCACCGUUGCCGGGGAGUGAAGCGCCUUUGGUAAGUGGAAAUUGGUAAGGAAACAUUUAUAUACUGUGCUGAAAUUUAUUGUCACUUGUCACUAUGGAAACUGUUCCUUUGAGGAGUUUGUUCGGGGUAUCUUCACCACGAACGGAAGCACGAGGAGUUGUUCCUCAACCUGAGGUCCCUACAGAAAAUAUCUUUUAUGAAAUUCCUUCGGGUAUGCUUGAGAAACAGCUGGCUAAUCCUUUCAGAGGAGAUGGAUCUUCACAUACAGACUUGCAUCUGAUCUAUGUAGAUGAAGUUUGUGGUUUAUUUAAGCUUGCAGGUUUGCCCGAGGAUGAGGUAAAGAAGAAAGUCUUUCCUUUAUCUUUGAAGGAUAAGGCGUUGACAUGGUAUAGGCUAUGUGAUGAUACUGGAUCAUGGGGCUACAAUCGGUUGAAAUUGGAAUUUCAUCAAAAGUUCUAUCCUAUGCAUUUAGUACAUCGUGAUCGGAACUUUAUCUAUAACUUUUGGCCUCGUGACAGGGAAAGCAUAGCUCAAGCUUGGGGGAGGCUUAAACCAAUGCUAUAUUCAUGCCCCAAUCAUGAGCUCUCGAGAGAAAUCAUCACUCAAAACUUUUAUGCUCGGCUUUCUCAUGAAGAUUGUACCAUGCUUCACACUUCUUGUGCCGGUUCUUUUAUGAAGAAGGAUAUUGAUCACAAGUGGAAUUUAUUGGAGAGAAUCAAACGCAACUCUGAAGAUUUGGAGCUGGAGGAAGGUAAGGAGUCAGGUAUGAAUUUCUAGUUUGAUUGUGUUAAAUCUUUUGUUGAGACAAACACUUCUAGAGAUUUUAGCGCUAAGUAUGGACUUGACUCUGAGAUAGUAGCUUCUCUAUGUGAAUCUUUUGCUGCUCAUGUUGAUCUUCCCAAAGAGAAGUGGUUUAAAUAUCAUCCUCCUGUAGAAAGCAACAUAGCCAAAACCAAUCUAGUUGAGGAGAAAGUCAUUGCUUUUAGUGAUCCUAUUGUUCCUUGUGCUUACACUGAGAAACCACCAUACCCUGCUAGGAUAAAGGAUUAUUCUAAAGCUCCACUGUGAUACGUAUGGGUUACAUUAGACCACUUGCACCCCCUAAGGAGAUUAGAGUUGAACCUAGUGUUGCUAUUAUCAAAGAUCUCUUAGCCGAAGACAUAGACGGGCAUGUUAUCAAAUUCUGAGAGGACUCCGCUAGAAUUGCUAAACCUCACGCGAAAGACAAACACGGACCUGUAGUUGGCGUGCCCGUUGUUUUUGUCAAGAUAGGAGAUCACUGUUACCAUGGUUUAUGUGAUAUGGGAGCUAGUGUUAGUGCAAUACCUCGUUCUCUAUAUGAUGUAAUCAAAGAUGAGAUUGCACCUGCUGAGUUAGAACCCAUUGAUUUCACUAUUACGCUAGCUAAUAGAGACACUAUCUGCCCUCUGGGAAUUGUGAGAGACGUAGAAGUCCUGUGUGGUAAGACGAAGUAUCCUACUGAUUUCCUCGUCCUUGGUACUGCACAAAAUAGCUUUUGUCCCUUCAUAUUUGGUAGACCCUUUCUCAACACUGUCAAUGCUCACAUUGAUUGCAUUAAGCAGACUGUCACAGUUAAUUUCGAGGGUGUGUCUCAUGAAUUUAUCUUCUCCAAGUUUGGAAGACAACCCCAUGAAAAAGAGUCGUCUGGUAGGGAUGAAAUCAUUGCUCUUGCCUCUAUUGCCGUACCUCCUACGAAUCCUUUAGAGCAAUAUCUACUUGAGCAUGAAAAUGAUAUGCAUAUGGAGGAGAGAGAUGAGAUAGAUAAAAUUGUCUUAGAACAAUAUCCUAUUCUCAAGAAUAAUCUGCAUGUUGAACUGCUUGGGGAUCCUCCCCCACCAAAGGGUGGUCCUGUGUUCGAGCUUAAACAGUUGCCUGAUACUCUUAUUAUGCCUAUCUUGAUGAGAAGGAGAUAUAACAUGUUAUUAUUAGUGCUCUCCUCUUAGAGCACGAAGAGAAGAAGUUACUAAGAACUCUGAGGAAGCACCGUGCUGCUAUUGGAUAUACUCUUGAUGAUCUUAAGGGUAUUAGUCCUACUCUAUGUCAGCACAAGAUUAAAACCGAUCCUGACUUUAAACCAGUUGCUGAUCAUCAAUGGAGAUUGUAUCCUAAGAUGAAAGAGGUCGUUAGAAAAGAAAUAUUAAAGCUUCUCGAAGCAGGAAUCAUUUAUCAUGUUGCUCAUAGUGAUUGGGUAAGUCCAGUACAUUGCGUACCUAAGAAGGGAGGUAUCACCGUCGUUCCUAAUGAUAAGGAUGAACUAAUCCCACAAAGGAUUAUUACUGGCUAUAGGAUGGUGAUAGACUUCCGGAAACUGAACAAGGCAACCAGGAAAGAUCAUUAUCCUUUGCCGUUUAUCGACCAAAUGCUAGAAAGGUUAUCAAAACACACACACUUCUGCUUUCUAGACGGUUAUUCAGGUUUCUCGCAAAUACCUGUUGCACAAUCUAAUCAGGAGAAAACCACUUUCACCUGCCACUUUGGUACCUUUGCUUAUAGAUGUAUGCCUUUUGGCUUAUGCAAUGCACCUGCCACCUUCCAAAGAUGUAUGAUGGCUAUAUUCUCUGACUUUUGUGAAAAGAUUGUCGAUGUUUUCAUGGAUGACUUCUCCGUUUACGGGUCUUCCUUUGAUGAUUGCCUCAGCAACCUUGAUCGAGUCUUACAGAGAUGCGAAGAUACCAACCUCGUCUUGAAUUGGGAGAAGUGCCACUUUAUGGUUAAUGAAGGCAUCGUCUUAGGACACAAAAUCUCUGAAAGAGGCAUUGAAGUUGAUAAGGCUAAGGUUGAUGCAAUUGAGAAAAUGCCUUGCCCCACAGAUAUCAGAGGUAUACGAAGUUUCCUAGGUCAUGCUGGUUUCAAUAGAAGGUUCAUUAAAGACUUCUCUAAGAUUUCUAGGCCUCUUACUAACCUCUUGCAGAAGGAUGUUCCUUUUGUUUUUGAUGAGGAUUGUGAGGAAGCUUUCAAAAUACUUAAGAAGGCUUUGAUAACCGCACCUAUUGUUCAACCACCUGACUGGAAGUUGCCCUUUGAAAUCAUGUGUGACGCUAGUGAUUAUGCUGUUGGUGCUGUUCUAGGACAAAGAGUUGAUAAGAAGUUGAAUGUUAUUCACUAAGCUAGCAAAACUCUAGACAGUGCCCAAAGAAACUAUGCCACUAAGGAGAAGGAAUUUUUAGCACUCGUGUUUGCAUGUAAAAAGUUCAGAUCUUACAUAGUUGACUCCAAUGUCACUAUUCACUCUAAUCAUGCUGCUAUUAAGUACCUUAUGGAGAAGAAGGACGCUAAGCCUAGGCUGGUCAGAUGGGUUCUCCUGCUACAGGAAUUCGAUUUACACGUCGUUGACCGAAAGGGUGCUGAUAACCCUGUAGCAGAUAACUUGUCUAGGCUAGAGAAUGUCCUUGAUGACCCACUACCUAUUGAUGACAGCUUUCCUGAUGAGCAAUUAAAUGUCAUCCGCACCUCACAUAGUGCACCGUGGUAUGCCGAUUAUGCAAACUAUAUUGUAGCCAAAUACAUACCACCAAGUUUCACCUAUCAGCAAAAGAAGAAUUCUUCUUUGAUUUGAGACACUACUUUUGGGAUGAUCCUCACCUUUAUAAGGAGGGAGUAGAUGGUGUUAUUAGACAUUGUGUACCUAAACAUGAACAUGGACAGAUCCUACAGAAGUGUCAUUCCGAAGCCUAAGGAGGACACCACGCUGGAGAUAGAACUACCCAUAAGGUAUUGCAAUCAGGUUUCUAUUGGCCCACUCUCUUCAAGGAUGCCCGUAAGUUUGUCUUGUCUUGUGAUGAAUGCCAAAGAAUAGGGAAUAUCAGUAAGCGUCAGGAAAUGCCUAUGAACUAUUCACUUGUCAUUGAACCAUUUGAUGUCUGGGGCUUUGAUUAUAUGGAACCCUUCCCGAGUUCCAAUGGAUACACUCACAUCUUAGUUGCUGUGGAUUACGUCACUAAGUGUGUAGAAGCUAUCCCCACUAAAAAUGUUGAUCACCACACCUCUAUUAAGAUGCUUAAAGAAGUCAUAUUCCCAAGAUUUGGAGUCCCUAGAUAUUUGAUGACUGAUGGCGGUUCACACUUCAUUCAUGGUGUUUUCCGCAAGAUGCUAGCUAAGUAUGAUGUAAACCAUAGAGUUGCAUCUCCUUAUCAUCCUCAGUCUAGUGGUCAAGUGGAGUUGAGUAAUAGGGAGAUCAAAUUGAUCCUACAAGAGACCGUCAAUAGAUCUCGAAAGAAUUGGUCUAGCAAACUUGACGAUGCACUAUGGGCUUAUAGGACUGCUUAUAAGAAUCCCAUGGGCAUGUCACCGUAUAAAAUGGUUUACGUAAGGCCUGUCAUUUACCUCUUGAGCUGGAACACAAAGCUUAUUGGGCAAUCAAAGAGCUCAACUUUGAUUUCAAACUUGCCGGUGAGAAGCGGUUGUUUGAUAUCAGCUCGUUAGAUGAAUGGAGGGCCCAGGCAUAUGAGAAUGCCAAGUUGUUCAAGGAAAAGGUUAAGAGAUGGCACGACAAACGAAUACAGAAACGGGAGUUCAAUGUAGGUGAUUAUGUCUUGCUAUACAAUUCUCGUUUGAGAUUCUUUGUAGGCAAGCUUCUCUCUAAAUGGGAAGGUCCUUAUGUUAUCGAGGAAGUAUAUCAUUCCGGUGCCAUCAAAAUCAAUAACACGAAAAGAAAUUUUCCUAGAGUGGUAAAUGGGCAAAGAAUUAAGCAUUACAUCUCUGGUACUCCUAUAAAUGUUGAGACCAAUAUCAUCAAUGUCAUAACUCCAGAGGAGUACAUAAGGGAUGUUUAUCAGCCUGUUUCAGACCCUGAAAACGAAGAGGUAUCUGUUUCGGCAAGAAAUUGGACUCCGAUGCUUUUCCAAUAGGAAAUUUCCUCCGUUUUGGAAUUUUUGGAAAAUUAGAAAAAUAAAAAGCAGUCCGGAGAGCGCACGAGCCGACCACAAGCCCUGCCACCGCUCCCUACCCCUUGGUGGUGGAGGGCAAGCUUGUGGGCACCUCGUGUGCCUCCCGGACUCCGUUUUCUUGCGGAGCACUCCUUCUGGUCCAGAAAAAAAUCAAUAUAUACUCGCCCGAAGGUUUUGAUCUCCGUAUCGUGCAGUUUUCCUCUGUUUUCGUUUCGAGCUUGUUUCUGCCGCAGUUUUAGAGCAAAGAUGUCUCAGGAAUCUGUUGGGGAGAAUGAUCUUCACCAAGUUCAUGAGGAAGUAGAUGCUGAUCUGAAAAGAGUAGAAGUCACGGAAGCCAGGGACCAAGCUAAGGAGAAAACCCAAGCUAGGGAGGAACUUCAACCUAUGUCCAACAUUGAAGACGUUGAAGGAGUAGAUUUUCUCCAACCCUUCCUCCACGUGCUGUCUCCAUCCUUGACUGAACUCUUGAGGUUUUGUGAAACAACUCGUGUUCGCAAUAUUUCCCUUUCUCGUGAAGUUGUUUUGUUGGAAAACCAUGUCACAGAUCUCAAAGGUAUAAAUCAAAGAUUAAUAGCUCUCUUGGAAUCAAAGGCAACAACUUCACCACCAUCACCACCAAAGGAAGACAACUAAGCAUUGGUAUGGGCAAUCCCCUUGGCUUCUGCCAAGCUUGGGGGAGUUGCCCUGGUAUCGUAUCAACUUUAUAUCUUUUCUUUUUACCUUUGUUUUAGUUCUUCCCUUUUUAGUUUUUAUUUCUUCUCUUAUAGGAAUAAGUCCUUAGUGUUUAGUUUGAGUCUUUUGAUUUUGUCUCUCCCCCGAUGUAUUCGAGCUUAUGAGCUAUAUAAUAAAGAGUAUCUUAGUCAAGGGCUUUUCUUUGUGCCAUGAUCAAAAGUAUGAAAAGAACGAUAGCAUGAAAGAUCAUGAGACGAUCUUAUGGAAAGUGAUAACUUCACUUAUGACACGUAUGAUGAUUGAAACUUGUUGACAAUAAAACAACAUAGACCCCACUCAUUGUUGCAAUUAAUAAGAAGUAAUAAGGAAAGAGAGGUUCACAUAUAAAUAUAUCAUCUUAGACACUUUUUACAAUUGUGAGCACUCACCAAACUAUUACAUGCUUAGGAGUAGAUGUUGGACAAGGAAGACAACAUAAUGAAUUGUGUUUGCUUGGUUCCAAACAAUGUUAUAUGAUUAGAGAUCCCUUAGCAUGUGACGAUUGCUUCCACCUCAUAUUAGCCAAAACUCCCACACCAAGUAGAGAUACUACUUGUGCAUCCAUAAACCUCCAACCCGGUUUUGCCAUGAGAGUCCACCAUACCUACCUAUGGAUUGAAUAAGAUCCUUCAAGUAAGUUGUCAUCGGUGCAAGAAAUAAAAAAUGCUAUCUAAUAUGUAUGAUCUAUUAGUGUGUGGAAAAUAAACUUUGUACGAACCUGUGAUGAGGAAGACAUAAAAGCGACAGACUGCAUAAUAAAGUUCUUUAUCACAGGAGGCAAUAUAAAGUGACGUUCCUUCGCACUAAGAGGACACACAUUCAAACCUCAAAAGUGCAUGACAACCUCUGAUUCCCUCUGCGAAGGGCCUAUCUUGUACCUUUACUUUUUGCCCUUGUAAGAGUCAUGGCGAUCUUCACCAAUUCCCUAUUUUGCCUUUGUCUUGGCUACCGUCAUAUGCUUAGGAAAGAUCUAUAUUCAUAUAUCAACUUGGAGUUGAGUACUUAUGCUUUAUUAUUGUUGACUUUACCCUUGAGGUAAAUCGUUGGGAGGCAAAAACUAUAAGCCCCUAUCUUCCUCUGUGUCCAGCUGAAACUUUGAUACCAUGAGUACCACGUGAGUUGUAACAAUUGUGGAAAACAAAGAGAUGAUUGAGUAUGUGGGUUUGCCUUACAAGCUCUUAUUUGACUCUUUCUGAUGUUGUGAUAAAUUGCAAUUGCUUCAAUGACUUUGGACCGUUGUUGGUUACUUCUUGGUAAGGUUUUUUGCUUCAUGCUUUGCUUUGUGAAGGAAUUGUUACUUUCCCAUAAGAAUAUUUAUGAUGUAUUGCUGUUCUAUGUGUGAUCAUGAUGCCCUCUUGUCCGUAUUAUGUUUUAUCAACACCUUCGCCCCUCAACAUGUGGACAUGUUCAUGGAACUUGGUUUUCGCUUGAGGACAAGCGAGGUCUAAGCUUGGGGGAGUUGACACGUCCAUUUUGCAUCAUGCUUUCAUGUUGAUAUUUAUUGCUUUGUGGGCUGUUAUAUUACUUUGUGGUACCAUAUUUAUGCCUCUUCUCUCUUAUUUUGCAAGGUUUAUUUGAAGAGGGAGAAUUCAGGCAGCUGGAAUUCUGGACUGGAAAAGGAGAAAAUCUUAGUCCACUAUUUUGCACAUCUCCAAAUGCCCUGAAAUGUUAUGUGGAUUUUUUUGGGAUUAUAUAAAACAUAUUGGGCGAAAGAAGUAUCGGAUGGGGGUUUCCAGGGCGCCACAAGCCCUGCCACCGCCACCCCCUGGUGGCGGAGUGGGGGCUUGUGGGCUCCCUGAUGGCCCACUAGCUCCCCCUUUUUCUAUAUGAAGGGUUUCGUUCUAGAAAAAAUCAUUCGGGAGCUUUUUCGUGGUUUCACCGCCGCCACGAGGCGGAACUUGAGCAGAUCCAAUCUAGAGCUCCGGCAGGACGAUCCUGCUGGGGAAACUUCCCUCCCGAAGGGGGAAAUCAUGGACAUCUUCAUCACCAACACUCCUCUCGUUGGAGGGGAGGCAUAUUCAUCAACAGCUUCAUCAGCACCAUCUCCUCUCCAAUCCCUAGUUCAUCUCUUGUAACCAAUCUCCGUCUCACGACUCCGAUUGGUACUUGUAAGGUUACUAGUAGUGUUGAUUACUCUUUGUAGUUGAUGCUAGUUGGGUUACUUGGUGGAAGAGUUUAUGUUCAGAUCCUUGAUGCUAUUCAUUACACCUCUGAUCAUGAUUAUGAUUAUGUUUUGUGAGUAGUUACUUUUGUUCCUGAGGACAUGGGAUAAGUCAUGCUGAUAAUAGUCAUGUGAAUUUGAUAUUCGUUCGGUAUUUUGAUAUGUUGUAUGUUGUCUUUUUCUCUAGUGGUGUUAUGUGAACGUCGACUACAUAACACUUCACCAUAUUUGGGCCUAGAUGAAGGCAUUGGAGAGUAGUAAGUAGAUGAUGGGUUGCUGGAGUGACAGAAGCUUAAACCCCAGUCUAUGCGUUGCUUCGUAAGGGGCUGAUUUGGAUCCACUAGUUUAAUGCUAUGGUUAGACUUUGUCUUAAUUCUUCUUUUGUAGUUGCGGAUGCUUGCGAGAAAGGUUAAUCAUAAGUGGGAUGCUUUUCCAAGUAAGGGCAGUACCCAAGCGCCGGUCCACCCACAUAUUAAACUAUCAAAGUAACAAACGCGAAUCAUAUGAACAUGAUGAAACUAGCAUGUCAGAAAUUCCCGUGUGUCCUCGGGAGUGUUUUUCCUCCUAUAAGACUUUGUUCAGGCUUUUCCCUUGCUACAAAAGGGAUUGGGCCACUUGCUGCACUGUUGCUACUACUUGUUACUUGUUACUUUUCGCUUGCUACGUUUCACCUCGCUACACCAUCACUUGUUACCGCUACUUUCAGUGCUUGCAGUUAUUACCUUGCUGAAAACCGCUUAUCACAGCCUUCUGCUCCUCGUUGUGUUCGACACUCUUACUUAUCGAAAGGACUACGAUUGAUCCCCUAUACUUGUGGGUCAUCACACCCCCAUUAAGAAUAAAUAUGUAUCCAGUUUGUGACUUAGAGUCAUCUGGAUCAGUGUAAAAGCUUGCAUCGACGUAACCCUUUACGACGAGCUCUUCGUCACCUCCAUAAAUGAGAAACAUUUCCUUAGUCCUUUUCAGGUACUUCAGAAUAUUCUUGACCGAUGUCCAGUGCUCCACUCCUGGAUCACCUUGAAACCUGCCUGCCAUACUUAUGGCAAGGCUGACAUCUGGUCUUCUGCACAACAUUGCAUACAUGAUAGACCCUAUGGCUGAAGCAUAGGGGACGACACUCUUCAGCAGUUACUGGGCAUUGAGUCUUACUCAAUUUUAUACCUUGUAACACAGGCAAGAACCCCUUCUUGGAUUGUUCCGUUUUGAACUUAUACAAAACUUUAUCAAGGUAUGUGCUUUUUGAAAGUCCUAUUAAGCACUUUGAUCUAUCUCUAUAGAUCUUGAUGCCUAAUAUGUAAGUAACAUCUCCCAGGUCCUUCAUUGAAAAACUCUUAUUCAAGUAAUCCUUCGUGCUCCCUAAAAAUUCUAUAUUGUUUCAAUCAUCAAUAUGUCAUCCACAUAUAAUAUUAGAAACACUAUAGAGCUCCCACUCACUUUCUUGUAAAUACAAGCUUCUCAAAAAACUUGUAUAAACCCGAAGGCUUUGAUUACCUCGUAAAAAUGUUGAUUCCAGCUCUGAGAUGCUUGCACCAGUCCGUAAAUGGAUCGAUGGAGCUUGCAUACUUUGUUAGCAUUCUCUGGAUCGAAAAAACCUUCGGGUUGCAUCAUAUACAACUCUUCCUUAAGAAAUCCGUUAAGGAACGCCAUUUUGACAUCCAUCUGCCAGAUUUCAUAAGCGAAAAAUGCAGCUAUUGAUAACAUGAUUGAGACAGACUUAAGCAUCGCUACGGGUGAGAAUGUAUCAUCGUAGUCAACUCCUUGAACUUGUGAAAAACCCUUUGACACAAGUCAAGCUUUAUAAACGGUCACAUUACCAUCCGCGUCCGUCUUCUUCUUAAAGAUCCAUUUGUUCUAAAUAGCCUUUCGGCCUUCACGCAAUACUUCCAAAGUCCAUACUUUGUUUUCAUACAUAGAUCCUCUCCCUAUAGNNNNNNNNNNNNNNNNNNNNNNNNNNNNNNNNNNNNNNNNNNNNNNNNNNNNNNNNNNNNNNNNNNNNNNNNNNNNNNNNNNNNNNNNNNNNNNNNNNNNGAACCUAUUAUGUUCUCGUCAAUAUAUGUGUGUUCUUGAUCCUAUCUUGCAAGUUGUACUCACCUACUAUGUGUUAUGACCCCGGAGUGACAAUAGCCGGAACCACUCCCGGAGAUGACCAUAGUAUGAGGAGUUCAUGUAUUCACUAAGUGUUAAUGCUUUGUUCCAGUUCUCUAUUAAAAGGAGAGCCUUAAUAUCCCGUAGUUUCCAUUAGGACCCCGCUGCCACGGCAGGGAUGGACAAUAGAUGUCAUGCAAGUUCUUCUCAUAAGCACGUAUGACUAUAUACGGAAUGCAUGCCUACAUUACAUUGACGAACCGGAGCUAGUUACAUAUCUCCCCACGUUAUAAAUGUUGCAUGAUGAAUGCCAUCCGGCAUAAUCAUCCAUCACCAAUCCAAUGCAUACGAGUCUUUUACUACUGGUCCUUGCUACGUUACUUUUCUGCUACUGCUGUCACUGCUACUACUGUUACCGCUACUGCUGUCACUGCUGCUACUGUUACCGUUGCUACUAUUGCUAUGACACUACCUUGCUACUGAUACUUUGCUGCAGACACUAAGUAUUUCAGGUGUGGUUGACAACUCAACUGCUAAUACUCGAGAAUAUUAUUUUGCUUCCCCUUGUGUCGAAUCAACAAAUUUGGGUUGAAUACUCUACCCUCGAAAACUGUUGUGAUCCCCUAUACUUGUGGGUUAUCAAGACUAUAUUCUCGCGCCGUUGCCGGGGAGGCCUAGCACUAUUCUCUGAGUCACUUGGGAUUUACGUCUAUUGAUCACUAUGAGGAAUCCGAGAGAUCCAAAAACUAAAGUCCUGCCAUCAACUACGAGGACAGGUAAGGAACUGCCAUCUAGCUCUGCACUUGAUUCACCUUCAGUUAUGAGUAAGUUUGCGACACCACCUCCUGCUAGAAAUUCUGAUAUGUCGCCUGUGCUUGAUGAUGCUACUUCUGCUAUCCAUGAUGCUUGUGGUGAUGCUUUGCUUGAUACUGCUUUGCCACUAGGUGCAUUUCUUGAUGCACAAAUUGCUAGAGUUGCUGCUGAAUGUGAUGAUACUUCUGAAACUGCUGAGAUUAUUGAAGUAGAACCUGCUAUUUCACCUGUUAGAACUAGCUCUCCUAGAUAUGAAUUGCCUGAUAUACCUGAGGGAUAUGUUAUGGAGGGAGAGAUAGCUGAGGACUUUCUUGCUUGUAAGGAUACCUAUGAUCUUGAGAAAUUACUACGCAAGUGGAAAGAAAAAUCUUUGAACUCUAGGAUGAAAUACGACCCGAAGUUUGCUACUUCGCCUAUCUUUGUGACCGAUAAGGAUUAGGAAUUCUUUGUCGACCCUGAGUUAAUCACUUUGGCCGAAUCUGAUCCUUUUCAUGGUUAUGAGUCUGAAACAGUUGUACCACAUCUUACUAAGCUGCACGAUAUAGCCACCCUAUUCACGAGUGAGGAAAAGAUCCACCACUACUAUAUCCUUAAGCUGUUUCCUUUCUCGCUAAAGAAUGAUGCUAAGACUUGGUUCACUUCUCUUGCUCCUAGUUGUGUGCGUAGUCCCCAGGAUAUGAUCUACUACUUCUCUCAGAAAUAUUUUCAUGCCCAUAAGAAACAAGCUGCCUUGCAGGAUAUAUAUAACUUUGUGCAAGUUGAAGAAGAGAGUCUCCCACAAGCUUGGGGGAGGCUUGUCCAGCUACUGAAUGCUUUGCCUGAUCACCCUCUUGAGAAGAAUGAAAUAUUUGAUAUCUUCUAUAAUGGACUAACCGAUGCUUCUAGGGACCACCUACAUAGUUGUGCUGGUUGUGUUUUCAGGGAACGAACUGUGGAACAAGCUGAGAUUCUAUUGAAUAAUAUCUUGUGCAAUGAGAAUGCUUGGACUAUUCCCGAACCACCUUCGAAGCCAACUCCGAAGAAAAGAGGUAUCCUAUUCCUCAGUCUUGAAUAUAUGCAAGAAGCUAAGAAAUCUAUGAAAGAGAAAGGCAUUAAAUCUGAACAUGUCAAAAAUCUACCACAUGUCAAAGAGAUCCAUGGUCUUGAUAACCCGACACAGGUAGUAGAGGUAAAUUCUCUUCGUAGAUUCAAUGAGAGUGAUAUUCCUUUUAAUAAACCUGCUAGCUUAUGCUUAUAUGAAUUUGAUAACUUUGUUGCCAAACAACACAGUUUCAAUGAUUAUGUUAGCACACAAUUGGAACAGAAUGCUCGUAUGCUUAGUCAUUUAAGUGCUUGUGUGAAUAGAAACGUCAAUGAUCUUAAGCUUUUGAGUAAACAUGCCUCUAUGGUUACUGAUACGUCUCAAACGUAUCUAUAAUUUUUGAUGGUUUCAUGCUGUUAUCUUGUCAACUUUGGAUGAUUUAUAUAUCUUUUUAUCUUUUUCAGGACUAACUUAUUAAUUCAGUGCCAAGUGCCAAUUCUUGUUUUUCUGUGUUUUUGACUCUUUUCAGAUCUGAUUUUGGAACAGAGUCCAAACGGAAUAAAAUCCCCGAAAUAAAUUUUUCCAGAACAGAAGAAGAUCGGGGGACUUGAGGGCCAAGGCAGGGGGCCCACAGGGAGCCCACAAGCCCCGUUGCCGCGGCCAGGGGGCCCGCGGCAACCAGGCUUGUGGCCUUCCUAGUGCUCCCCUGCCCUAGCUCUUUGGCCUAUAAACUCUCUAAAAUCCCAGAAAAAGGAGGGCAUCCACAAAAAUACUUUUCCGCCGCCGCAAGCUUCCGUUUCCACGAGAUCUCAUCUGGAGACCCUUCCCGGUGCCCUGCCGGAGGGGACUUUGGAGCUGGAGGGUUUCUACAUCAACAUCAUCGCCCCUCCAAUGACUCGUGAGUAGUCUACUUCAGACCUACGGGUCCGUAGUUAGUAGCUAGAUGGCUUCUCUCUCUUGGAUCUUCAAUACAAAGUUCUCCAUGAUCUUCAUGGAGAUCUAUCCGAUGUAAUCCUCUUUAGCGGUGUGUUUGUCGAGAUCCGAUGAAUUGUGGAUUUGUGAUCAGCUUAUCUAUGAAUUAUAUUUGAGUCUUUGCUGAUUUCUUAUAUGCAUGAUUUGAUAUCCUUGUAAGUCUCUCCGAGUAUUGGGUUUUGUUUGGCCAACUAGAUCUAUGAUUCUUGCAAUGGGAGAAGUGUUUGGUUUUGGGUUCAUACCGUGCGGUGACCUUUCCUAGUGACAGAAGUGGCAGCAAGGCACACAUCGUGUUGUGGCCAUCAAGGGUAACAAGAUGGGCUUUCAUCAUAGAUUUGAGAUUGUCCAUCUACAUCAUGUCAUCUUGCUUAAGGCGUUACUCUGUUCUUAUGAACUCAAUACACUAGAUGCAUGCUAGAUAGCGGUCGACAUGUGGAGUAAUAGUAGUAGAUGCAGAAAGUAUAUGUCUACUUGUUUUGGACGUGAUGCCUAUAGAUAUGAUCAUUGCCAUAGAUAACGUCAUGACUUUGCGCGGUUCUAUCAAUUGCUCGACAGUAAUUCGUUCACCCACCGUCUACUUGCUUUCAUGAGAGAAGCCACUAGUGAACACUACGGCCCCCGGGUCUAUUCAGAACUAUUGUCUCCACUUUCACUUUGACUUUGCUUUGUUUCCUUUUUGCUUUUAGUUCUCACUUUGCAAACAAUCUAUAAGGGAUUGACAACCCCUUCAUAGCGUUGGGUGCAAGCUCUUUGUGUUUGUGCAGGUACUCGUUACUUGACGCGAUCCUCCUACUAGAUCGAUACCUUGGUUCUCAAACUAAGGGAAAUGCAUACUGCUUUUGUGCUGCAUCACCCUUUCCUCUUCAAGGGAACACCAACGCAAGGCUCCAAGGCCGCGGGCGAAUCCUUUGCAUAUUUUCCAAGGAAGUCCCUGUAGGCGUAGCGAGCAGCAGAAGGACCUCUGACGCCGUUGCCGGGGAAGGUCUUUUGUUGCCGUAGCAGAAGGAUUUCUGGCGCCGUUGCCGGGGAGGAGAGAUCAAGUCAAGAUCUAUCCAAGUAGGUGUCACAAACUCAUCUCUUGCAUUUACCUUUUUGCUAGUUGCCUCUCGUUUUCCUCUCCCCCACUUCACAUUUGCCAUUUUCAUUUGCCUUUCUCCCUUGCCGUUUUCAUUUGCCUUCUUGCCUUUCUCCUUUUCCGUUUUCUUUUGCCUUUUUGCCGUUCUCUUUUUUGCCCGUUUCACUCGCUUACUUCCUGCUCAUUUGUGUGUGGGAUAGUCCACCAAUGGCUAGACCCACCACUCCAAAUGAUACCCCUGAGAACGAAGUUCUCAAUUCCAAGCAGAAUGAGGAAGAAAAUUUAAAGGACGCUUGGUACAGGAUUUGCAAUGCUCAAAGUAGAUCUACUCGUAAGCAAUCCACUAUCGUUUUUUCGCAGUUUUUUAUGUCGGAAUCUCUCCUUGGAAUAGGUAUAUUCCUGAUACCAUCGUAGGCGGGAAUUUUUUUGGGGAGCCAUACCGUUGACUCCUAUGGAGCUGUCAUGAAUUUGGUAGGCUCACCCCCGCUCAUGGUUAAUGGAACUACCUUGACCUUGGAACACGUGAUGCAAAGGCUUGACACUAUUGAAAACAAAAUUGCCACAAUUGAACUUAUUGAGGGUUUGGAUAGAAAGAUCCACAAUCAAAUUACUCAGUACGGAUCCAAAGUGGGAAUGGUUUUGAAAAAUUUAAGGGAGAAGGAACCUAUAGUUAAUGAUUCCUCUAGAAUUGGCAAACUAGAAGAUGUCAUAACCAACUUGGGUUCCGCUUUUGCCGCUGUGAAAAAUACUCCAAGUCCCACUCUCAAAAAGACCGUCAAGUCUGUUUUUGUUACUAAAGCUAGUGGUGAGUCAUCCAAUAAAGAUGAAGAUCUUAAGAUGAUAAAUGAUCACACUACUUCUGGUUUGAGCACCAAAGAUGACUAUACGUGGUUCCAUCACCUUAUGCCUAGCUAAGGGCGUGAAACAAUAGCGCUUGUUGGGUGGCAACCCAACGAAUCUAUCCUUUUACUUUCUGUUUUGUGGUUUCCACACUUUCAUAAUUCUGUUAUGAUUGUGUUUUUUGUGUUUCUUUUGCGUUUGUGCCAAGUAAAACCGUUAUGAUUAGUCUUGGGGAUGAUCGUUUGGUCAUGCUGGAAAAGACAGAAACUUUCUGCUCACGAAACGAAUUUUCAUUUUUUUAUGUAAGAGCUUUUGAGUUGGUUCUUUUUUAUUCUGAUUCCUAUGCAAAUUCUUCAGACUUUCGUAAGGUUUCAGAAUUUUUGAAGUACCAUAAGUAUACGAAGUAUACAUAUUGCCACAGACUGGUCUGCUGUUAACAGAUUCUAAUUUUGUUGAGUUGGUUGCUUAUUUUGAUGAAACUAUGGAUAGUAUCGGGGGUAUUAGCCAUGGAAGAUUGAAAAUACAGUAACCCAACAUCAACAUAAGUAGAAUUUAAGUUUGCUACAGUACCUAAGGAAGUGGUGGUUUGAUUUCUUAUACUAAUGAUAUCACGAGUUUCUGUUUAAGUUUCGUGUUGUGAACUUUUCAAGUUUUGGGUGAAGUUCUUAUGGACCAAGAGAUAAAGAGUGGCAAGAGCUCAAGCUCGGGGAUGCCCAAGGCACACCAAGUUGAUUCAAGUAUGCUGUAAAAGCCUAAUCUUGAGGAUGCUCCGGGAAGGCAUCCCCUCUUUCGUCUUCAAUCCAUCGGUAACAUUACUUGGGGCUAUAUUGUUAUUCAUCACAUGUUAUCUGUUUUGCUUGGAGCGUCUUGUAUCGUAGGAGUCUUUUGUUUUUGUUGUGUCACAAUAUUCCUUGCUGCACACCUAGAGAGAGAGACAUGCACUCACCGUGAUUUUGUCGAGCUUCACUUAUAUCCUUUGGUUAGACAAUUCAGCUCAGAUGUGCUUCACUUAUAUCUUUGGAGCUAGUUGAUUUUGCUCCAUGUGCUUCACUUAUAUCUUUUAGAGCAUGGCGGUGCGUGGCUUGGUAGUUGAUCUAUGCUAUGAAUGUAGUCUCAAAAGGGGUAGUUAUCCAAAGGGAUAUGAAAACUUCCACCUUCAUGUGCAUUGAAUAGUUAGAGAAGUUUGAUUCAUCUCAAUUAGUUUUGAGUUGUGGUUGUGGUGAUAUUGAAGUUAUACUAGUAAGGUGUUGUGGAUCUAGAAAUACUUCUGUUGAAGUUAGUGAUUCCCGUAGCAUGCACGUAUGGUGAACUGCUAUGUGAUGAAGUCUGAGCAUGAUUAGUCUAUUGAUUGUCAUCCUUUGUGUGGCGGUCGGGAUCUCACGAUGGUUUAUACCUACCAACCCUUCCCCUAGGAGUAUGCGUUGAAUGCUUUGUUUCAAUCACUACUAAAACUUUUGCAACAAGUAUAUGAGUUCUUCAUGACUAAUGUUGAGUCCAUGGUUUAGAUGCACUUUCACCUUCCACCAUCACUAUCUUCUUUAGUGUCGUGCAACUUUUGCCGGUGCAUAAAACCCACCAUUAGCCUCCCUCAAAACAGCCACCAUACCUACCUACUAUGGCUUCUUCAAAGCCAUUCCAAGAUAUAUUGACAUGCAACUACCACCAUGACAUGUGCCACCACUUCUACAUUGCCAUUGCAUUAUCAUAAGAUAGCUAGCAUGAUAUUUCCAUUAAUGUAUAUGCCAUGCUAGAUCAUUGUCACGGUACACUACCGAAGGCAUCCCAUAUAGAGUCAUCAUUGCUCUAAGUUUUGAGUUGUAAGUGUGAUGAUCAUCAUUAAUGGAGCAUUGUCCCAUGUGAGGAAAUAAAAGAGGCCAGCGAAGCCCAUUUACAAAAAGAGGCCAAAGAUGCCCACCCCAAAAAAAAGACGUCAAAGAGCCCACCAAAAAAAUGAGAGAAAAAUAGAGAAGGGACAAUGCUACUAUCUUUCCACACUUGUGCUUAUUAAGCACCAUGAUCUUCAUGAUUGAGAGUCUCUCGUUUUGUCACCACCAUAUAGCUAGUGGGAAAUUUUCAUUAUAUAACUUGGCUUGUAUAUUCCAAUGAUAGGCUUCCUCAAAAUUGCCUUAGGUCUUCGUGAGCAAGCAAGUUGGAUGCACACCCACUAGUUUUCUUUAAGAGCUUUCACAUACUCUUAGCUCUAGUACAUCAUUUGUAUGGCAAUCCCUACUCAUUCACGUUGAUAUAUAUUGAUGAGCAUAUCCACAGCUCAUUGAUAUGCCUAGUCAAUGUGACCAUCUUCUCCUUGUUUGCCUUGCAACCUCCACCACACUCCAUUCCACUUAUAGUGCUAAAACCAUGGCUCACGCUCAUGUAUUGUGUGAGAGUUGAAAAAGUUUGAGAAAGUAAAUGUGUGAAAACAAUUACUUGGCCAAUAUCGAGGUUGUGCAUGAUUUAAAUUCGUUGUGCAAGGAUGAUAGAGCAUAGCCAGACUAUAUGAUUUUGUAGGGAUAACUUUCUUUUCGCCUUGUUAUUUUGAAAGUUCAUGAUUACCUUGCUAGUUUGCUUGAAGUAUUAUUGUCUCCACGUCACUAGCAAACUAUUGUUUUGAAUCUAAUGGAUCUGAACAUUCACGUCACAUAAGAGGAGUUACAAAGGACAUCUGUUCUAGGUAGCAUGAAAGCAUCAAAAAUUCUCUCUUUAUCACUUCCCUACUCGAGGACGAGCAGGAGUUAAGCUUGGGGAUGCUUGAUACGUCUCAAACGUAUCUAUAUUUUUUUAUGGUUUCAUGUUGUUAUCUUGUCAACUUUGGAUGUUUUAUAUACCUUUUUAUCUUUUUGGGACUAACUUAUUAAUUCAGUGCCAAGUGCCAGUUCCUGUUUUUUCCGUGUUUUUGACUCUUUCCAGAUCUGAUUUUGGAACGGAGUCCAAACGUAAUAAAAUCCCUGAAAUAAUUUUUUCCGGAACAGAAGAAGAUUGGGGGACUUGAGGGCCAAGGCAGGGAGCCCACAAGCCUUGUUGCCGCGGUCAGGGGGCCCGCGGCAACCAGGCUUGUGGCCUCCCUAGCGCUCCCCUGCCCUAGCUCUUUGGCCUAUAAAUUCCCUAAAAUGCCAGAAAAAGUGAGGGCAUGAACGAAAAUACUUUUCCGCCGCCGCAAGCUUCCGUUUCCAUGAGAUCUCAUCUAGAGACCCUUCUCGGUGCCCUAUCGAAGGGGACUUUGGAGUUGGAGGGCUUCUACAUCAACACCAUCGCCCCUCCAAUGACUCAUGAGUAGUCUACUUCAGACCUAUGGGUCCGUAGUUAGUAGCUAGACGGCUUCUUCUCUCUCUUGAAUCUUUAGUAGAAAGUUCUCCAUGAUCUUCAUGGAGAUCUAUCCGAUGUAAUCCUCUUUGUCGGUGUGUUUGUCGAGGUCCGAUGAAUUGUGGAUUUGUGAUCAGAUUGUCUAUGAAUUAUAUUUGAGUGUUUGUUGAUUUCUUAUAUCCAUGAUUUGAUAUCCUUGUAAGUCUCUCCGAGUCUUGGGUUUUGUUUGUCCAACUAGAUUUAUGAUUCUUGCAAUGGGAGAAGUGCUUGGUUUUGGGUUCAUACCGUGCGGUGACCUUUCCGAGUGAUAGAAGGGGCAGCAAGGCACGCAUCAUGUUGUUGCCAUCAAGGAUAACAAGAUGGGCUUUCAUCAUAGAUUUGAGAUUCUCCAUCUACAUCAUGUCAUCUUGCUUAAGGCGUUACUCUGUUCUUAUGGAGUCAAUACACUAGAUGCAUGCUGGAUAGCGAUCGACGUGUGGAGUAAUAGUAGUAAAUGCAGAAAGUAUCGGUCUACUUGUUUUGGACGUGAUGCCUAUAGAUAUGAUCAUUGCCAUAGAUAACGUCAUGACUUUGCGCGGUUCUAUCAAUUGCUCAACAAUAAUUCCUUUACCUACCGUCUACUUGUUUUGGACGUGAUGCCUAUAGAUAUGAUCAUUGCCAUAGAUAACGUCAUGACUUUGCGCGGUUCUAUCAAUUGCUCAACAAUAAUUCCUUUACCUACCGUCUACUUGCUUUAAUGUGAGAAGCCACUAGUGAACACUACGGCCCCCCGGUCUAUUCACAACUAUCGUCUCCACUUUUAAUUUUACUUUGCUUUGUUUCCUUUUUGCUUUCAGUUCUCACUUUGCAAACAAUCUAUAAGGUAUUGACAACCCCUUCAUAGCGUUGGGUGCAAGCUCUUUGUGUUUGUGUAGGUACUUGUGACUUGACGCGAUCCUCCUACUGGAUCGAUACCUUGGUUCUCAAACUGAGGGAAAUACUUACUGCUUAUGUGCUGCAUCACCCUUUCCUCUUCAAGGGAACACCAGCGCAAGGCUCCAAGGCCGUGGAGGAAUCCUUUGCAUAUUUGCCAAGGAAGUCCCUGUAGGCGUAGCCAGCAGUAGAAGGACGUGUGACUCCGUUGCCGGGGAAGGUCUUUUGUUGUCGUAGCAGUUACUACUCAACUAGAGCAAGUACUUAAGGCUCAAAAUGACGUGCUCAAUGAGCUGAAUGACAAUUCUGUCAAAGUCGUCACUAGAGGUGGUAGAAUGACCCAGGAACCUUUGUAUCCUGAGGUUCAUCCUAAGAGAAUUGAACAAGAUUCUCAACGAGGUAGCACCGAGGCACCUAGUCAUCCUAGGAAGAAAAAGAAAGAUGAUAGGAACUUGCAUGCUAGCAACCAUGUUGCUGUUACACCCAAGAAUCCAAACGAUGUCUCUGUUUCUGAUGUCGAAACACAAUCUGGUGAUGAACAUGAGCCUAGUGAUAAUAUUGAUAGUGGUGUUCAUGAUGAUGCUCUACCUAGCAAUGAUAAGGAUGUGGAGAUUGAACCUAGUGUUGAUCUUGAUAACCCACAACCUAAGAACAAGAGAUACGAUAAGAACGACUUCACUGCUAGGAAGCAUGGUAAAGAAAGGGAACCAUGGGUUCAGAAACCCAUGCCCUUUCCUCCCAAACCAUCCAAGAAAAAGGAUGAUGAGGAUUUUAAGCGAUUUGUUGAAAUGAUUAUACCUGUCUUUCUGCAAAUGCGUUUGACAGAUAUGCUCAAAAUGUCUCCUUAUGCUAAGUACAUGAAGGAUAUUGUGACUAAUAAGAGGAGGAUACCUGAGGUUGAGAUUUCCACCAUGCUUUCCAAUUACAUCUUCAAGGGUGGAACUCCUAAGAAACUAGGUGAUCCCGGAGUACCCACUAUACCUUGCUCCAUUAAAGGAAACUACGUUAGAACUGCUUUAUGCGACCUUGGAGCUGGUGUUAGUGUUAUGCCUCUCUCUCUGUAUCGUAGACUUGAAUUGGAUAAGUUGACACCCACUGAAAUCUCCUUGCAAAUGGUUGACAAAUCAACUGCUUUGACUAUCGGUAUUUGCGAGGAUGUGCCUGUUGUGGUUGCUAACGUUACUUUCUUAACGGACUUUGUUAUUCUGGAUAUUCCCGAGGAUGAUGCCAUGGCGCUCAUCCUUGGAAGACCCUUUUUAAACACUGCAGGGGCUGUUAUUGAUUGACAAAGGCAAUGUCAAUUUCCAUGUCAAUGGUAAUGAGCAUGGGGUGCACUUUCCGAAGAAACAAUAUCGAGUACAUUGCAUCAAUGCUAUUGAAAAAACUUCAUCGAUUCUUAUUGGGAGCUUUGAAUGCCCUAUACCUACUGUUAAGAUGAAGUAUGAUUUGCUUGUUGGGGAUAUGCACAUCCCCAUUGAGGUAACCUAGUGACUAUUCGAAAAUUCUCCGUUUUUAUGCGAUUCGAAAAAAGUUUGUCAAGGAGACCUGAUCAACCUCAUUGACGGAUUUCUUUUGAUGACCAUGAGAUGGAUGAAUCUAGGAGUCACAACCCUCUGUUUCGAACUUUUACUCUCGGUUGUUUAGAAGAAAAAUGAUAGAUUUAGCUUUAGUUUCUCCUGUUUUCUGCUUUUCCCAUCCUGUAGAAAAGUGUCCCGAAAAUAAAAAGUUCUCCGAAUGCCCUGAAAGUCAAGCAUGUUUUUUUCUGGAAUUUUUGAAAAAUUCUGAGACGGAGAGCUAGUCAGGGGGAUGCACCAGUGGGCCACAAGACUAGGAGGCACGGGCACCCCCCCUGGUCACGCCUACGAGGCUUGUGGGGCCCACGUGGCCCCCCUCCACUUAUUCCAGCUCCCAUCUCCUUCUCCUACCUCGAGAAAAAAUCAUUCUACAUCUCAAACCCGUGUUCUUGCUAUGAUUUUUGAUCUCCUUGUGCAAAGCCCCAUUCACCAAACUGUUUUGGGGAAAUUGUUCCUUGGUAUGUGACUCCUCCAUUGGUCCAAUUAGUUUUUGCUCUAGUGCUUUAUUCGUUGCGUAUUAUUGUUGCCUUGGUGACCCUGUUCUUGAGCUUUGCAUGUUAAUUUUAGUUGGUCCCAAGUAGUUUUGAUGUAUGAUAUGGCCUCUAGGCACUUGUAGGAGUAGUUGCUAUGAGUUUCGUUGAGCCUUGUUCACUUUUCCUUUGAGUCACUAAAAAUUUCAGAAAAAGGAAGAUGUUCAGGAAAAACUAUCAUGGUGGUUCUUCAAGCAAGAGGGGUCCCUAUCUCGCGAUUCGGGAGCCCGAUCCUUACCAACCGAGGAACGCACAGGUACAACCAUGUGAAUGGCCUUCUGAUGAAUUCAUGAUUGAUGGAGGUUUCAAAGACGAGUUUGAUACACUUGUUCACAACGUUGGACUUGAAGAAUUCAUCUCCAAUAAAUGUGAACAAUAUAAUUCUCUCACUGCCUCUUUUGUUCGUAGAUUCAAAUUUUCAGCUGGUCGUGACACAUCCGUACUGUUUGAUCUCUAUGACAAAACGUAUACCAUGGAUUUAGAGGAUUUCAAUAGAAUUUGCAAGAUACCUGAUUGGGGUAGUCUCAAUGAUCCUCCUAAGUCUUCGGUUAGAGAUUUUAUCUCUAGUAUAACUGUCGGAGAAACUAGAGAUAUUACGCAGGCUACCAUGGGGAGCAUUCAUUUUCCUGCCUUGCAUUACUUUGCCCUCUUCAUAGGUAGAUGCAUUAACGACAAAAUUGAGCAUUGUCACCUCUGCGCACCUGACCUUAGUAUUCUUCAGAGCGCAGUAACAGGUGAUAGAAGUUUCAACUUGGGAGCUAUAAUCACGAGGAGGCUAAAUAAUAAUGGUAAUGAAGGGGAUUUCUUUGGUGGGAUCUAUGCCACUCGUCUAGCAAAUUUUCUUGGAGUACCCAUCCACGAAGGAUAUCCCCCGCUCCAUACAGCUUUCAUUGAUCGCGCCGCUAUGACAAGUUAUCUAUUCCUUGAGAGGGAUAAUGAAUCCCUCCUAUACCGGUUAAUAUUUAACCGACGACGUGUUUUCUAUAUAACCCUUCCUGCUCCUGCCUUCUUUGACUUUGAGGUAAAACGGAGAUAUUACAUAACCAGAGGAGAGGUAGAGGAGUAUCAGAGGGAGGCAAAGGUUGCUCGCCUCCGUGAGGCAGCUAUUCAGGCGGUAGCUGCUGUGCUCCUGUACAACCCCCAUUACGAUUUUGAAUAUCGCCCGGACCAGCCUUGGGACUAAACCAACUUAGGCCAAAAGCCUAAGCUUGAGGGAGUAUGUGUUCCUCACCGACUUUAUAUUCUUGCUCACGCUUUCACUUUGUUAGUCGGUGUUCACACCUUGCCACUGUAUCAUCCAUGCUAGUUUAUUUCCUUUUCUCGCUUUCUUCUCUUGUGUCUGUUUAGAUUGAGAAAACUCAAAAAGAUUUCCCGUGUAAAUAGUUUUAUUUUUAUUUGGGUCAAGGUAGAAGACCAUGGUUACAAUGUUUAGUGGCUCUCGCAUGCAUAUCCGUUUAUCUGUCACAGAGCCAUAUUACUUUGUCUUCUCCUUUGUGUUUGCUUGCAGAUUCCAGCUUUGUCCAAUGCACGAACACUCUUAUUAUUGUUCACAUCUAUCGGUCAUGCAAGUGAAAGGCAAUAAUGACGAUAUAUGAUGAAUUGACUGAGCCUGGAAAAGCUGGUAUGAACUCGAUCUAUUUUGUUUUUGUAAAUAUGGCUAGCUCAUCGUUCCUAAUUCAGCUUUGUUGUGAGAGAAAGAUGUUUGCAAUGACAACUUAGAGAUCAUAGUUUCUGAUGCCAUGCUUAAUUAGCUAGGAGCUUAUAAUGGUUUGUCUUGGAUGCCAACAUGAAUUUCAAGAUGAUUAUGAUGUAGUAUGAUAGGACGGUAUCCUCCUUUGAAUGAUUCAAGUGGCUUGACUUGGCACAUGCUUACGCAUGUAGUUGAAAUAAAAUCAACAUAGCAUCUAUGAUAUUCAUGUUUAUGGUGAUUUAUGUCCUACUCAUCCUUGCACUCAAUGUUGGUUAAUCUCAAUGCAUAUUGAUGACUGCUGUCGCUCUCUAGUUGGUCGCUUCCCAGUCUUUUGCUAGCCUUCACUUGUACUAAGCGGCAAUACUGCUUGUGCAUCCACUUCCAUAAACCCAAAGUUGUUCCAUAUGAGCCCACCAUACCUAACUAUUUGCGGUAUCUACCUGUCGUUCCAAGUAAAUUUGCAUGUGCCACUCUCUAAACGUUCAAGUAAUAAUUUGUUUUGUAUGCCCGAACCGCUCAUGUGGUGACAAGGGGCAAUCAGUAUCUUCCAUGCUAGGCGUGUUAUCCUCGAUACGAGUUUAUUCACUAUCACUCACGAGAAAGGGGCCGGUAAUUGGAAUGCCCAGUUCCAUGCUCAAAUUGAAAAGAUAAUUGCAAACAAAACUCCCUGUGGAUUGUUGUUGGUAUGGACCGCACCCGAGUAUUCGUCUAGUCGUGGAGUGUGAUUGAUCGGUGGUGGGGGAGUCAAAACUUUACUUUUUCUGUUUGUGAACCGCCUAUAGCAUGUGUAGCAUGGAAGAUGGUGAAAACUCUUGGUCAUUGCAUUGACAAUGAAAGCAUGCCACCCAAAAUUAUUUAUCUCUGUCUUCAAAGCUUGAGCUCUCGCACCUCUGCAAAUCAAUGCUUCCCUCUGCGAAGGGCCUAUCUAUUUAUGUUUCUGUUGAGUCAUCCUCUUCUUAUAAAAGCACCAAUUAGAGAGCCCCUCCGUCCUUUUUAUGCUUUUCUAUUAAUUGUUAUUGAGUAUGACUGUGACUGGAUCUUCUUUGCCAUGAAUUACAAUGUUCAGUCAGCCUUUGGAAUUUGAAGGUGCUCUGCAUUUAUGUUUUGCGGUCUCAGAAAGAGCUAGCGAGAUACCACCUGUUCAUAUUGCUUCAUGAUUGUUUUGAUUGAAGUGUUGACGUUUGAAACUCAUCAUUAUUACUCGCUAGUUGAUUAUGCCAUUCAUAUGAGUACAUCUUGAGACCUAAAUGUCAUUGCUUAUGUAGUUAGCUUAUGAUCUUGCUGAAAAUCUAAACAUGAGUUAGACAUAAUUACAACAACAAGAUCAAGCAGAGUUCGUAAAAGUUUUUCUUUUGUCUCUUUCAGUUUGUCAACUGAAUUGCUUGAGGACAAGCAAGGCUUUAAGCUUGGGGGAGUUGAUACGUCUCCAUCGUAUCUACUUUUCCAAACUCUUUUGCCCUUGUUUUGGACUCUAAUUUGCAUUAUUUGAAUGGAAUUAACCUGAACUAACGCUGUUUUCAGCAGAAUUGCCAUGGUGUUGUUUUUGCGCAGAAAUAAAAGUUCUUGGAAUGACCUGGAAAUUUACGAGGAUUUUUUUGUGGAAUAUAUAAAAAAUACUGGCGCAAGAAUCAAUCGGAGGCGUGGAGUGAGGAGCCCACAAGCCCAGGAGGCGCGGGCCCCCCUGGCCGCGCCUAGCAGGCUUGUGGGGCCCUCGGGACUCCGCCGCCUCCAACUCUAGCUCUAUUUAGUCCCUUUCAUCCGGAAAAAAAAUUCAAGGAGAAGAGUUCAUCGCGUUUUACGAUACGCAGGCGCCGCAACCACCUAUUCUUCCUCUCGAGGGCAGAUCUGGAGUCCGUUUUGGGCUCCGGAGAGGGGAGAUCGUCGCCAUUGUCAUCACCAACCUUCGUUCAUCGCCAAUUCCAUGAUGCUCUUCACCGGUCGUGAGUAAUCUCAUCGUAGGCUUGCUGGGCGGUGAUGGGUUGGAUGAGAUCUAUCAUGUAAUCGAGUUAGUUUUGAUGGGGAUUGAUCCCUAGUAUCCAUUUUGUUCGGAGAUUGAUGUUGCUACUACUUUGCCAUGCUUAAUGCUUGUCACUAGGACCCGAGUGCCAUGAUUUCAGAUCUGAACCUAUUAUGUUCUCGUCAAUAUAUGUGUGUUCUUGAUCCUAUCUUGCAAGUUGUAGUCACCUACUAUGUGUUAUGACCCGGCAACCCCGGAGUGACAAUAGCCGGAACCACUCCCGGAGAUGACCAUAGUAUGAGGAGUUCAUGUAUUCACUAAGUGUUAAUGCUUUGUUCUGGUUCUCUAUUAAAAGGAGAACGUUAAUAUCUCAUAGUUUCCAUUAGGACCCCUCUGCCACGGGAUGGAUGGACAAUAAAUGUCCUGCAAGUUCUUUUCAUAACCACGUAUGACUAUAUACGGAAUGCAUGCCUACAUUACAUUGACGAACUGGAGCUAGUUACAUAUCUCCCCAUGUUAUAACUGUUGCAUGAUGAAUGUCAUCCGGCAGAAUCAUCCAUCACCGAUCCAAUGCCUACGAGUUUUUUCCUACUGGUCCUUGCUACGUUACUUUGUUGCUACUCCUAUCACUGCUACUACUGUUACCGCUACUGCUGUCACUGUUGCUACUGUUGCUAUCACACUACUUUGCUACUGAUACUUUGCUACUGAUACUUUGCUACAGAUACUAAGUCUUUUAGGUGUGGUUGAAUUGACAACUCAACUGCUAAUACUCGAGAAUAUUCUUUUGCUUCCCCUUGUGUCGAAUCAACAAAUUUUGGUUGAAUACUCUAUCCUCGAAAACUGCUGCGAUCCCCUAUACUUAUGGGUUAUCAGAAGCCUCUAGUGAACACUAUGGCCCCUGGGUCUACUUCACAUCAUAUUUUCAGCUCUACACUUUUACUUUGUUGCACUUUCCACCUUCAGAUCUCACCUUGCAAUCAAUCGUGAAGGGAUUUACAACCCCUUUGUAGCGUUGGGUGCAAGUUUGCUAUUUUUGCGCAGGUACUUUGGAGACUUGCCUUGAUACUCCUACUGGAUUGAUACCUUGGUUCUCAAACUGAGGGAAAUAUUUACUGCUAUUGUGCUGCAUCACCUUUUCCUCUUCAAGGGAAAAACCAACGCAAGCUCAAGAGGUAGCAGCGAACACGUGGUAUUGCCCGUUGUUUAACUGUUUGGGGUUGUUCUGGAAGCCGUCGUCAUUGUUCUGUGGCUGGAAACCGUUGUGGGUGGGUUGUUGUCGAAAGGCGUCCUGCAGGUUGUGUUUCUGGUUGUCCCGAGCCGGAUGCUGCCCAUGAUUAGGCUGUGACCCGCCCUGUGGGCCCGGGUUAGGGAAUCCAUCAAACGGAUUCCUUUGUGGUCCGGCAGCGCCGAAGCGUUCUUGUUGUCCACAAUGGUUGCCUCCUUGCCCCCUCUUGAGUGUUUCGGCGCGAAACUCCUGCAUCACGUAACAAUCUUCCCAAGAGUGGGUAGCCGGGCCGUCAGCAGUGGCGUGUUGCGGACACGGGCCCUUGAGCAUCUUGUAAUAGUUGUGUGGCUUCUUCCCGCUAAACCCCCUCUUCGGCUGACGCUGGUUGUUAUUGCUAGUGCUAGUGUUGGCAACGAAAUCAGUAACGCCCUCAUGCGGCCUCCUUUUGCCUUGACCCGUGGGGUGAUGGUAGCCCCGUCCCUGGAAUUGAGAGUGACCUCUUGGCAACUCGCCUCUCCUGGCGGUGCUGAUCUUGUCGUCAUCCUCCCCGGGGUCCUUAGUGUCGUCUUCCUCGGCGUAUCUGGUCAUGGUGUCCAUCAAUUCUGCCAUGUCCGGUACUUUACACUUGAGCCGCCCAAGUUUAAGCACCAAGGGUUCGUAGUGGCAGUUUUUCUCCAAGAUCAACACGGCCCGAGCCGCCGAAAUGCCUUCUGAUGAAUGGAUUACCUCCGCAACUCGUUGCGUCCAAUGAUGGGUCGACUCGUCCGGACGCUGGACACAGUGCUGCAAGUCAACGAUGGUCAUCGGUCGUUUACAGGUUCCUUUGAAGUUUUAAUGAAUCGUUCCUUCAACUCGGCCCAGGUGUUGAUGGAGUUGGGUGGUAAGCUCUUCAACCACGUGCGCGUUGUUCCUUCGAGCAUCAUGGUGAAGUACUUAGCGCAAGCCGCCUCACUCACAUCGAGCAUAUACAUCGCAAGCUCGUAACUCUCAAUCCACGCGCGUGGCUCCAGGUCCGGUGUGUACUUGGACCUUUCGCGGGCCUUUGAAAUCCUUUAGCAUACGCUCAUUACGAAUGGCGGGUGCCAGGCAAGGCACUCCGACGUGCCUUCCACCGGUCUCAGUCGUCGCGGGAGACGGUAUGGCAUAGAUCGGAUAACCCUGACCCGCCGCGGCCGCUGCAUCCACAAGGUCCUUAGCCCUCGUGUCGGGCAGGUUGGUUUGUCGAAAACACCGGUGUUCGCUGUUCACUGCCGGCGGGUCAUCAUGGCGAAUCCUGGCGUGACUCGCCUGGGGCGUAGAGUGUAGCCGCUCACAGCUAUACGAAUACUACGCCUCUUGCACCACCGUUGUUUUUAGCAUCUCAAUGGCGUUUAUUGCUUCCACCUCGGCCGGAGAGUUCCUGUGGAUGGGAACGGAUUCAAGGUGACGGGUCGCCGCCAGCAUGUUGUCGACGGGGUUCGAGAAGUGGCCCCGUGGUGUUUGGAAAUGCGUUGCAUGAGUCUCCAUGGGCUGAGGUGGAGGCCGAGCCGGCUCGCCUCCUCGGGCGGCCUGCCACGUCCGAUUGGGCUCCACUCCCGGCGUAUGUGGGCUGUCGAAAAGCCGGGUUGGGUUUAGAUCGGCUGGCAGGCGGCUGUGAUGCCGCCUCUUGUGGAUUGCGUCCAAAGCGUGUUGCUGUCGCUCGAGCCACCACCCCUCAGUGUUCAGUCGCUCCGACUCCGCAAUAAUUAGGGCCUGCUGUCUCGCCAUCCUGGCGGCUUCUUCCUUGAUGUCAUGCUGGAUUUUGGCCAUGUCUUCCCUUAGUUUCGCUAGCUACGAGUUGAUCGUUUCUUGGUUUUCCGUUGUCACAAGGAUCGCCAUGAGCUUGGCCUUCUCUGGUGCCAGGUCCGCCAGGGCCUGAGUUGGAGUCUUUGACGACCCGAUGGUUUCAUUGUUGCCCGUCGGGUUUGGCUGACGUGGUGCUGCCCCCGCCAUGUAGAUGGUGACUUGACGGUGCGGACCCCUAGCUUCCUCAGAGACCGCUGCCUCCGGCAACCCCUCAAGAUGCCCUUCAUAGAGAGUGUAGAUUGAAUCUGUAUCGCCCAUGGAUGACUCAUCGUCCGAAUUGACGGGUGUGACCCCCUGGAUCGCCGGCUCAUCCGGCAAGUCGAUUCCCUGCGUAAAACCAAUAAAAACGCGACGCGACCGGUCGUGUCGCUUGAUGGGACGGACGUACCGAGCCGGCUCGAUCAUGUCGGUGACGGUGUCCGCCUCAGGCACGGGUGCUCCGAUCUUGCCGAUGAAUACGUGGAUCUUGCCGAAGGGGACCCUGUAUCCAGAUUCGACUGAAUCGGCCUCAGGCCCCCAUCGCGAGUUAUUGAUGUAGUACUUCCCUCGGCGGCUCUGCGUCAUGAUGCCGACCGCGUAGCUUUCUAACCCCGGAAGGGCUCCCUUUGAUAACUCAACUCCACCGUGCGCAAGCCCCACGGUGAGCGCCAACUGUCGUGGUUUUGUCAUGGCAGAUGUCCUCGUGAAAGGACUUAGUGAAGGAGCCAUCGCACCUUGGUGGCGACUCAAAGGGGGUGAGCGAAAGCAAGACUCAGAUUUACCCAGGUUCGGCCCCUCGUGUGGAGGUAAAGUCCUACAUCCUACUUUGUGUAUAUUGAUGGUGGAUUCGAUUACAAGGGGGCGUAACUCGCCUGACCUAGCUCUCGAUGACUUCUAACAUGAUCUAUUCGCCCCAGAGACUCGCCUUUAUAUACAGGUCAAGGCCCCAGGGUUUACAAAGUCCUGGCCACAUUACAAAUCGUGGCCUUCCUUAUCUCUAAGUCGCCGUGUACCUCAAGUCGAGGAAAACUCCUUGGAGGCUCAUCUUCUUCGCCAUCCUUGAACCGUCAUCUGGCUCAUGGGCCAUGGCGGCCUUCUUACAAAACAUCCCAACAUGCCCUAAGCCCAAACCAAGGCUUAUGUUGGUCAUAUAUGUAUGAGUCGCCAGUUUCCUGACUCGACCCAUCAGGGCGGGUCAUACCGCAGGUAAUAUCCCCAACAUGGCCCUUGCCCCCCCUGUGGCCCAACUUCGGUGAUCUGUAAGCUUUCGUUACGCUGAUUAUUUAUAUAUUUUUCCUGGAAUUUUUCGGGCUUCAGAAAAUUGGGUAAAAGCCCCUGCAAAAUAGAUAUCAGCAAACAGAAACUCGCACUGGGUGCACUGAGUUAGUAGGUUAGUCCAAAUAUGUGUAAAAUGAUAUAAAAGUGUAGCAAAACAUAUAACAUUGUCACCCAAAAGAUCAUGGAACAAGCAGAAAUUAUAGAUACGUUUGGGACGUAUCAACAUCCCCAAGCUUAAUUUCUGCUCAUCCUCGAGUAGAUAAAUGAUAACACAAUAAUUUCUGUGGUGACAUGCAGACACACAUAUAAGAACUUCAAAGUAAAGCAAGUAAGAUAUGCAAAUCAAGUCAAGAAAAUAACAAGCAAGAGUUUAUAUCUAGCAUUGAGUUUAGCAAAGUAAGAACAUAAAGGUGCAAGAGCCCUCGCUGUCCGUGACUCAAAUGUCUCCAGAUGAUGUUUGCGUGCAAGAAAUAGGAGAUAGGUUGAGAUCAUAAAAUAUUUUUUUAAUUUGAGAACUCAAUCUACUAAACCUCACACUUAGUCUCCUUCGGAAUAUUAUUUUGACUCAUCCCCAAACCACUAGUCAGGCACAAGUCAAAAUGACCCUCUCCCUUUCGACUUUGAGCACUCAUGCAAUGGAUGAGCGUGAGCAAGAUAUGUUGGCACUUAGGAUGGCAAAUAGAAUAAUGAUGGGGAAGGAAGACAAAAAAGUUGUGAAAGGCUCACAUCAAUGAGAACAAUCAUAGGUGAGAGAAAACCAAAUGAUAGAUAUGAUGUCACGAGUAGGGAUUGCCAUGCAACGAAUGCACAUAUGAGCUACGGUAAUCUCUCCAAUAGAACUAGUGGGUGUGCAUUGAUACGUCUCCAACGUAUCUAUAAUUUUUGAUAGUUUCAUGCUAUUAUCUUGUCAAACUUUGGAUGUUUUGUAUGCCUUUUAUAUAUUUUUUGGGAGUAACUUAUUAACUCAGUGCCAAGUGCCAGUUCCUGUUUUUUCAUGUUUUUGACCCCUUUCAGAGGAGAAUUUGAAACGGAGUCCAAACGGAAUAAAAUCCCCAAAAAGAUUUUUUCGGUAACAGAAGAAGAUCAGGAGACUUGAGAGCCAAGGAGGGGGUCCUCAGGGGCCCCACAAGUCCCCACCCCGCGGCCAGGGGGGAGGCCGCGGCCCACAGGCUUGUGGGCCCCCUGGACCUCCUUUGCCCUAGGUUUCGCGCCAAUAUAUCCCCAAAAAUUCCACAAAAAAUCAGGAGAUCAUCAAAAGUACUUUUCCGCUGACGCAAGCUUCUGUCGCCGCAAGAUCCCAUCUGGGGCACGUUCUGGUGCCCUGUCGGAGGGGGGAUUCAGAUACGGGGGGCUUUUUCAUCAACACCAUGACCUCUCCGAUGAUGCGUGAGUAGUUCACCAUAGACCUACGGGUCCAUAGCUAGUAACUAGAUGGCUUCUUCUCUCUCUUGGAUCUUCAAUACAAAGUUCUCCAUGAUCUUCAUGGAGAUCUAUGCGAUGUAAUCUUCUUUUGCAGUGUGUUUGUCGAGAUCCGAUGAAUUGUGGAUUUAUGAUCGGAUUAUCUAUGAAUCUUAUUUGAGUUUCUUCUGAUCUCUCUUAUGCAUGAUUUCAUAUCCUUGUAAUUCUCUUUGAGUUGUGGGUUUUGUUCGCCCAACUAGAUCUAUGAUUCUUGCAAUGGGAGAAGUGCUUGGUCUUGGGUUCAUACCAUGCGGUGACCUCACCCAGUGACAGAAGGGGUAGCGAGGCACGCAUCGUGUUGUUGACAUCAAGGGUAAAAAGAUGGGGUUUUCAUCAUUGGUUUGAGUUCAUCCCUCUACAUCAUGUCAUCUUGCUUAAGGCGUUACUCUGUUCGUCAUGAACUCAAUACACUAGAUGCAUGCUGGAUAGCGGUCGAUGUGUGGAGUAAUAGUAGUAGAUGCAGAAAGUAUUGGUCUACUUGUCUCGGACGUGAUGCCUAUAUGUAUGAUCAUUGCCUUAGAUAUUGUCAUGACUUUGCGCGGUUCUAUCAAUUGCUCGACAAUAAUUUGUUCACCCACCGUGAUAUUUGCUAUUUUGAGAGAAGCCUCUAGUGAACACUAUGGCCCCGGGUCUACUCCACACCAUAUUUUCAGCCUUACACUUUUUACUUCGUUGCACUUUCCGCCUUUAGAUCUCACUUUGCAAACAAUCUUGAAGGGAUUGAGAACCCCUUUGAAGCGUUGGGUGCAAGCUCGUUUGUGUUUGCGUAGGUACUCUGGACUUGACGAGACUCUCCUACUGGAUCGAUACCUUGGUUCUCAAACUGAGGGAAAUACUUAUUGCUCCUUUGCUGCAUCACCCUUUCCCCUUCAAGGAAAAAACCAACGCAAGCAAGUCUCCGUCAACGUGUCAAUUUCUGGCGCUGUUGUUUCAGAAGUAGCAUGCAUCCGACUUGUUUGCUCAUGAAGACCUAGAGCUCAUUUGAGGAGGCUCAUUAUUGGAAUAUGCAAACCAAGUUCUAUAGUGUAAGGGUCCCCACAUAGUUAUGCAUGAAUGAUAAUCUCUAUGUAGUACAAGUAUAGCAAUGGAGUACGAGUGUGGAUCUUUCAAAAGGAAUAAUAGUGGUGCCCCCUUCUCGCUUUUUUUCUUUUUUUGGCCUCUUUGGCUCUUUUUUUUUAUCUCUCAUUUGUCCUCUUUGGGAUCUUUUGUUUGUCCUCUUUGGGAUCUUUCCCUCACUUAAGGGCAACACUCUAUUUUUUUACAAGAAUAGAAAGAAAAAUCUUCACACUUUAUAAGAAGUACUCAACAUAAAGAAUAAUGAAAACUAUCAUGAUGUAUGCAAAUGUAUGCCUCUGCCAGUGUAGCAGGAUAUGCAAUGAUACUAGCACGUCACGUAGCAAUAACAAUAAGGGCAAAGCCCAACUAACAUGCGGCUCCUCGACCAAGCAAAAGUAUGUAUGACAUGAAGAUCAAGUCAUGAGAUGGUGGAUGUUGCAUGGCAAUGUAUCUCGGAAAGGCUAUGGAAAUGCCUUAAUAGGUAGGUGAUAUGUCUCAAAUGUAUCUAUAAUUUUUGAUGGUUUCACGCUCUUAUCUUGUCAACUUUGGAUGUUUUGUAGACCUUUUAUAUCUUUUUUGGGACUAACUUAUUAAUUCAGUGCCAAGUGCAAGUUCCUAUUUUUUCUGUGUUUUUGACUCUUUUUAGAUCUGAUUUUGGAACGGAGUCCAAACAGAAUAAAAUCCCCGAAAUAAAAUUUUCCAGCCCCCCCAGAAGAAGAUCGGGGGACAUGGGGGCCAAGGAAGGGGGCCCACAGGGAGCCCACAAGCCCUGUUGCCGCGGCCAGGGGGGCCCACGGCAACCAGGCUUGUGGCCUCCUGAUGUCAGCUGUGCUUCCCCGGCAACGGCGACAGGAAUAGUCAUGUCGACGGCACCAGGAAUCCUUCUGCUACGGCUAUGGAGCCUUGCGUUGGUGUUCCCUCGAAGCGGAAAGGGUGAUGUAGCACAGCGGUGGUAAGUAUUUCCCUCAGUUUGAGAACCAAGGUAUCAAUCCAGUGGAGGAGUAUCACAAGAUCCUGCACAAAGACAAAGAACCUGCUCCCAACGCUAUGAAGGGGUUGUCAAUCCCUUAUAGAUUGUUUGCCAAGUGAGAACUCAAAGCAACAAAGUAACAAAGAAAAGUAAAAACAGAGGUGUAAACAAUGGAUGUGAAUAGACCCGGGGGCCGUAGUGUUUACUAGUGGCUUCUGUCAUGAAAGCAAGUAGAUGGUGGGUGAACAAAUUACUGUCGAGCAAUUGAUAGAACCAUGCAAAGUCCUGACGAUAUCUAUGGCAAUGAUUAUAUCUAUAGGCAUCACGUCCAAAACAAGUAGACCGAUACUUUCUACAUCUACUACUAUUACUCCACACGUCGACCGCUAUCCAGCAUGCAUCUAGUGUAUUAAGUCCAAAAGAACAGAGUAACGCCUUAAGCAAGAUGACAUGAUGUACAUGGACAAUCUCAUAUCAACGACAGAGCCCAUCUUGUUACCCUUGAUGGCAACUACUUAAUGUGUGCCUUGCUGCCCCUACUGUCACUCGGAAAAGUCACCACAUGGUAGAACCCAAAACCAAGCACUUCUCCCAUUGCAAGAAUCAUAGAUCUAGUUGGCCAAACAAAACCCAAGACUCGAAGAGACUUACAAGGAUAUCAAAUCAUGCAUAUAAGAAAUCAGCAAAGACUCAAAUAUAUAUCAUAGAUAAUCUGAUCACAAAUCCACAAUUCAUCGGAUCUCGACAAACACACCGCCAAAGAAGAUUACAUCGGAUAGAUCUCCAUGAAGAUCAUGGAGAACUUUGUAUUGAAGAUCCAAGAGAGAGAAGAAGCCAUCUAGCUACUAACUACGGACCCGUAGGUCUGAAGUGAACUACUCACGAGUCAUUGGAGGGGCGAUGAUGAUGAUGAAGAAGCCCUCUAACUCCAAAGUCCCCUCCGGCAGGGUGCCGGGAAGGGUCUCCAGAUGAGAUCUCGUGGAAGCGGAAGCUUGCGGCGGCGGAAAAGUAUUUUCGAGGCUCCCCUGAUUUUUUGUUGUAUUUUAGGGAAUAUAUAGGCCAAGGAUCUAGGUCAGGGGGCGGCCAGGGAGGCCACAAGCCCUGCCACCGCCGCCUCCCCCUGGUGGCGGAGUGGGGGCUUGUGGGCUCCCAGGAGCCCUCCUGGCUUGGCCCACAGGCCCCCUGAUCUUCUUUCGUUCGGGAAAAAAAUCAUUUCGGGGAUUUUAUCCCGUUUAGACUCUGUUCCAAAAUCAGAUCUGAAAAGAGCCAAAAACACACACAAAAACAGGAACUGGCACUUGGCACUGAAUUAAUAAGUUAGUCCCACAAAAGAUAUAAAAGGUACAUAAAACAUCCAAAGAUGACAAGAUAACAGCGUGAAACCAUCAAAAAUUAUAGAUACGUUUGAGACGUAUCAUCUCCCUGGCGCUCCCCUGCCCUAGCUCUUUGGCCUAUAAAUUCCCUAAAAUCGCAGCAAAAAUCAGGGCAUCCACGAAAACACUUUUCCGCCGCCGCAAGCUUCCGUUUCCGCGAGAUCUCAUCUGGAGACCCUUGUCGGUGCCCUGUCGGAGCGGACUUUGGAGUUGGAGGGCUUCUACAUCAACAUCAUCGCCUCUCCAAUGACUCGUAAAUAGUCCAAUUCACACCUACGGGUCCGUAGUUAGUAUCUAGAUGGCUUUUUCUCUCUCUUGGAUCUUCAAUACAAAGUUCUCCAUUAUCUUCAUGGAGAUCUAUCUGAUGUAAUCCUCUUUGGCGGUGUGUUUGUCGAGAUCCGAUGAAUUGUGGAUUUGUGAUCAGAUUAUCUAUGAAAUAUAUUUGAGUCUUUGCUAAUUUCAUAUUUGCAUGAUUUGAUAUCCUUGUAAGUCUCUCCGAGUCUUGGGUUUUGUUUGGACAACUAGAUCUAUGAUUCUUGCAAUGGGAAAUGUGCUUGGUUUUGGGUUCUACCAUGUGGUGACCUUUCCCAGUGAUAGUAGGGGCAGCAAGGCACACAUUAAGUAGUUGCCAUCAAGGGUAACAAGAUGGGCUCUGUCGUUGAUAUGAGAUUGUCCAUCUACAUCAUGUCAUCUUGCUUAAGGCGUUACUCUGUUCUUUUGGACUUAAUACACUAGAUGCAUGCUGGAUAGCGGUCGACGUGUGGAGUAAUAGUAGUAGAUGCAGAAAGUAUCGGUCUACUUGUUUUGGACGUGAUGCCUAUAGAUAUAAUCAUUGCCAUAGAUAACGUCAUGACUUUGCGCGGUUCUAUCAAUUGCUCGACAGUAAUUCAUUCACCCACCGUCUAUUUGCUUUCAUGGGACAAGCCAGUAGUGAACACUACAGCCCCCGAGUCUAUUCAGAACUAUCGUUUCCACUUUCACUUUUACUUUGCUUGGUUUAGUCUUUGCUUUCAGUUCUCACUUUGCAAACAAUCUAUAAAGGAUUGAUAACCCCUUCAUAGUGUUGGGUGCAAGCUCGUUGUGUUUGUGCAGGUACUUGUGACUUGAACGCUCCUCCUACUGCAUUGAUACCUUAGUUCUCAAACUGAGGGAAAUACUUACCGUCGGUGUGCUACAUCACCCUUUCCUCUUCAAGGGAACACCAACACAAGGCUCCAAGGCCGCGGGGAAAUCCUCUGCAUAUUUUCCAAGGAAGUUCCUAUAGGCGUAGCCGUAGCAACAGGAUUCCUGGCGCCGUUGCCAGGGUAGGUCUGUUGUCGCAGUAGCAGUAGGUAUGGUGGCUGUUUUGGGGAAACAUAUAAUGAGGCUGAUGUAUGACAUAGCGUAUCAUGUCAUGGGUUUGGAUGCACCGGCGGAGUUUGCACCAACUCUCGAUGUGAGAAAGGGCAAUGCAUGGUACCGAAGAGGCUAGCAAAAUAUGGAUGGUGGAAGUGCCAACAAUCGAAUACUCACAUUAGUCCGAAGAACUCAUACACUUAUUAUCGAAGUACAUAUACAAAAAAUGAUGUGAACUAUUGAUACUGAAAGUGCGCUACAUCGACUAGAGGAGGUGAAUAGGAGAUAUUUAGAAUUUCAUCACUGAGGAAAUUCCUUUUGAGGAAAUUCCUCACUAAUGACUAACUUGCAGCGAAACAUCAAAGGAUCAGGGGUGCAAAGUAUCACUACAGCAGUUUUCAAGGUGAAGAAUAUGAAAAGCAGUUUGCAUAGUAUGCAAGCACAGGGAAAGGAGGUGAGGAUUAACUCGCGUGAAGAAUUUGGGGUUGAGGAAUUUCAGAGAAAGUCUUCAGCAAAUUCUUCAAACAGUGACAAUGAAAAUCUUCAACAUACAAUAUGAGGAAUUGAAAGAGUUGAAGAAAUAGAACCCGUUUCAGAGUGAAGACAAUGGUUGAUGUCCCAGUUCCAAAUGUUUUGACAGUUGUACAUCUGGUUUGGAGUGGCUUGGUAUUGAAACCAAAAGACACACAGUCCCGGGACACACAGUCCCUACCGUAUUCUCAUUGAGCUAAGAACACACGGUCCUCGCCCAACACUCGUGGUAAGUCUUGAGGGAAGACUUCCGAACCCUCACAAACUUGGUCACCCGACGAUCCACAAUUGACUGCUGGAUUGCUCUAGACCAUGACGCCUAACCGUCUGGAGGAUGCACAGUCCUCAAAGAUAAAAGGCUUCAGUUCCACACAGUUCCUCAAAGGUAAAAGGUUGCAGCCAACCAGCUAAUGGUUGUGGGGCGGCUAUUUAUAGCCUGGGAGCAUCCCAACAUGAUUUGACAUUAAUGCCCUUAAAUAAUAUGACCGUUGGUGUGGAUAAGAUCAGUGAUGUGGCGCGAAUUGCGGUAAGGGUCGGGACCCUCAACUGUGAGAGUCCUCAUGUCUCUCAUAUUUCUGACUUGAGGCUUUUGGUAGGAUUAGGCUUGGGUUGAGCAUCAUGAGGAAAUUCAUUCCAAAGUGUUACCUCGACCCCCUUUAACAUUACGAUGUUCCUAUGACUCAAGAGUGAAGAAAAUAAAACAUAAAGAAUAAAUCUUCAUGCUUCGAAGUCUUCAGAUUGAUUACUUCAAGACACACCGAAUUCCUCAUCUUCAAUAUCUUCAUGAGGAAUAUCAAUUUCAUCGCAAUUUCUUCGCGAUACAAUUCUUCAGCUUGAGACCAAUUUCUUCAGCCGAAGAUAUACAUUUUUAGGGGUCGAUAUUCAUCGAAUAUUUCAAACUCCUCAACGACUUAUAGAUCCUGUGUACACUCAUGAACACAUUACAUACUUAAACUAUAAGUCUUAAAACCACCAAAAUCACUAAGGGGCACUAGAUGCACUUAUAAUCUCCCCCUUUUUGGUGGUUGAUGACAAUUAGGUUAAGUCUUCAACGGGGAUAAAAAUAUGAAGUGUAAAUACUCAUUUGAGGAAUUUGAAAUCAAGAUACAGAGAGACUCCCCAUGAAGAUGUGCAUAUCUUGAGGAUUUUUCUUUUCACAGCAAAUGCACAUUGAUGAUUUAUAUCAUGGAAAUCUCCCCCCGAGUCUUGUAAAUCAUGCAUACAUAUAACAUAUAAUAUGAAUAAUUUGAGAAUUCAUGAUGAGAAAUGGUGUCUGACGAAUUCUAGCAUGCGUGCAUUAAUAUUUAAUAUUUUGAGGAAUAAGCAUGCGAAGAAAAACGUUCAAAAGCGUCAGAGUAUCAUCGGGCUUAAGUUACAACUCAUUACAUAAAACACUUCAGAAGAGCAAGAGUUUGUAACUUAAUAAAGUUUAUAAGCCCCAAAAUAUAUCCCGCGUGAAGACUAACUCUCAGAUUUCUCCCCCUUUGUCAUCAAGUGACGAAAAGGGACAAAACUGAGGACUAACGCCCCUUUGAACACUUUCAAUUCUUGGCAGUUGAGGAAGACGCGUGAGGAUUCUUGGGAGCAGGCUUCCUCCUUGGUCCAGUGGCAGUGUCUUCUUGGUCUUCAUCAGGUUCUGCAGUGCGGAAUGAAGAAAAGGAACUGUCCUCAAGGUCUGGAACUGGAAUUGGCUUGAACUUCUUCUUUGGUGGUCAUGACCAGUCAAAGUCAUGUGUGAACUCCAAUUCUUCAAGUUCUACUGGAGUCUUCAAAUGAGCCAGUGUGGCCCAAGUGCGAUCAAAAACCUCAUAAAGAUAGUGAUGAUUAAUCUUCACUGCAUUCUGAGUCUCAUUGAGGGCUUUCACAAUGGCGUUUGACCCAUUUGUAAUUGUGAUCGACCUUUUGAUGAAGACUGAGGAGUAGCUCUCUGUUAUUCAUCACCCUUGGGGCAACUGGGCUUGGCAGCUGUGUUUCAGUAUCAUCCCAUGAAGAAUAUGCAUCUGGUUCACGAAAUUGGCCUUCAAGGGGCCGACUACCUUCAUCGAUCAGAGGCUUGCCUUUUCCUUCAACUGUCUCGAAAGUCUUCUUGUUGACUCUGAUUGGAGGCAUAUAUCCAAGGUGAUUAUUGAAAUCAUGAUGAUAGUUGAUGCCUGACCUGCGUCUGAUGAAUCUCGUGAUCCAUGGAGCGUAAAUCUUCAGGUCAAAAGGUGACAUAGCACUGUCAGCCGGAGUCCUCAAAAAUAAUUCGUGAAGAUUUAUGGGGAUGCCAUGGAUGAUGUUGAAGAGGAUAUUCUUCAUGAUGCCUACAACAUCUUCUUCAUCAUCAUGGCCCUUGAUUGGCGCAAGAACACUGCACAGAAUCAUGUAGACUAUCCUGGAUUCAUACUUUAGAUCUUGGACCAGGAAAGUCGUUCUUGGUGGUUGAUCCUUGGCCAAAGGCUUCAUGAGGACUUCCAUCGGCUUAUUUGGCAGCUCCCGUUCAUCAUACAUCUUCACGGCAUGUUCUGAAGGAAUUGACACAGGAAGUACUCGCAGCAGCUCAUUUGUAGGGGCCUUGAAGUGUGUGUGCUAUGUCAUCCAAUCCAUCACCCAAGUGUUGAUAUCUAUUGGAUCUCCAGAGAUGUGCAAAGUUACAUAGAAUUGAAGAACAAUGUCGUUGUUCCAAUCGCAGAUAUCAGUGCAAAGUGGCAGCAGUCCUGCUUCAUGAAGAACGUUGAGGACUCGAGCGAAGCAAGGAAUUCCUUCAAGCUCAACAUGAGUAAUAUGCAUGUGUUGAAAUAUUGUGUUUCUUCCACACAACAUAGAUGCAUAAUAGUUGAGAUAUGUCCUUGUCCAAAACUUCAUGUGCCUGAUGUGAGGCUUUUCAUAAGGAUUUUCUCCGAUGAAAUACAUGUGUUCUUCAUAGAAUGCUUCCUUCUGAAACUUUGGCCUCUUGGAGAAGGGAUGAUGCUGCAUAGGCUGAAGAUUUUGCUGCUUCCCUUGAGGAGAGACGAUCAUGGCAGUUUCCGGAUUGACAACCACAAUAGCAGUUUCUGUAUUUGGUGCAGGGGCAUUUUCUUCAGCAUGUUCCUCAGGAGAGGAAUUUCAUCAGCCUGUGCCUCAGGUUGAGGAUUUUGCUCAGGAUGAGGAAUUUCAUCAACAUGUGCCUCAGGUUGAGGAUUUUGCUCCGGGUGAGGAUUUUCUUCAGCCUAAGCCUCAGGUUGAGGGUUUUGCUCAGGCUUUGGAUUUUCUUCGGGCUGAGAAUCUUCUCUUUGGUUUUCCUCAUCUUGAGGAAUGUGCUUGGAGGAGGAGCCAAAUUCUUCAGGUGUUGCAGCUGAUCCUUGGGCAGGUUCUUCAGGAGUAAUGAAUGUCUGAGGACUGCCAUCAAUUUGAAUUUCUUCAUCAGUGUGUUCCUCAAACUCAGCAGCCUUCAUUUCCUCAUUAGUCAAGUGCUCCUUAUCUUCGCUCUCUAAGGGAAUCAUGGCAUGGGAUGGAGCAAUCUUGAGAGGCACGGCAUCCAAAGGAGCAUUUUCAUCAAGAGAUUUGAGGCGCUUGGCCUCUGUUGAUUCUGGUGUUGAAGAAGUUUUUCUUUUCUUAGCUUCUUUUUCUGCAGCCCUGGCUUUCUUCACGUCUGAUGCAGACGGAGUCAUUUUCUUCACCUUUGAGGAUUUUGGUGAAGGUAUUUUCUCUUCAAGAGGCGGCGCCGUAUCCGUCCUGGCAGUUUCCUCAGCUGCAGCAUUUUCUUCAGCUGGAGCAGAUUCAUCAGCUGGCUUAGAUGCAUCAGCUGGAAUAUCCUUAGCUAUUUCCUCAAUAGCCGGCGCAUCAGCACGGCUUUCUUGAGGCAUUUCCUCAGCAAGGGUUGCUUGUUCUUCCUCUAUCUCAGGCUGCUGUGGUUUCGCUGGAGGAGCAGCCUUUUUGUUGUAAUCAUCAACUGCGUUGGUUGCAAACUUGAUGAAAUUGUUCUUGAGACUUUGACGAUCAGAUAGCUUGGUAUACUUGUCUGUCAAAGUCUUCAGUUCUUCCUGGUUGACACAAGAACAUCGGGCGUCAGGCUGAGGAGAUUUUGUCUGAGAAAUUUCUCCUUCUUCAGCUUUGCAGCCUUUGCUUGUUUGGCUUGCGUCUCCUUCCACUUGGCCUCAUUGAUGAAUGUGGCCACCAUAUGACUGAUGCUCGGGGGAAGCUUCAAGUCAUCAAUGGGUGUGUUGGGGUCAUCAUACCAAACAUUGAUGUAGUCCAACAGGACUUUUGGGUCCAUGGCCAGAAGAAUGGCGCUGCCUGAAGCUUGAGCAACCCGCUCCUGCUUGCUUCUGAUUAUUGCUUGCAGUGUCUCAUCAUUAUAUUAAUCACUUCCUUCUGAUGCAGAAGGGACUUUGAUGACUUUGCUUGGGCUGGGUCUAUUUCCUCUUCCAGCAGUCAUCUUAGUCUUCAAUGGUGUUGGUGAAGACUUUGUCUCUGAGCUCGUUGCAGAAGGAACAGAGGAGUUGGAGAAAGUAGGCAGUUGCUUCACAAUCUGCUUGUGUUCAGGCUUUGAGGCUUGUUUGGUUGUUGAGGGUUUUGGUGCACAUGCAGGCGCAACCUUCUGAAGCUAUUUCUCCUCAGGCUUUGAAUCCUUUGAUUUCUGUGGCACAUGCUUCACUUGAGGAAUGGCCGUGCCAGACGUUUCAGCAGUUGAGGAGGUGGCUGCGGCAGCAGCAAUAGCAGAUUCUUCGUUGAAUUUCCUCACAUCGGCUUCUGCUUGCUUGUGAAGCUUUGACAAGUGUUUAGUCUUUUCCUCAGGAUAAUCAUCAAUCGUAUUGAGGCUUUAAGGAUGGGCAUCUUGAUGAUCCUCGAGAGGAGGCCUUUUGCCAGGUGGCUUAAGAGAGAAUUUCUUUGCGUACUUUGGAGUGACGAAUCGGUAUUCCUUCCACUCGUUAGCCCACCAGCAUUCUAUCUUUUGGAGCCUUAUUUUCCUCUUGGGCCUUGUUUCUUGCUCAUCUGGUGUGCAGUAUUCCAAGUAUAUAUCCUCAGGGAUAUCAAUGGCAGUGUUUUGUUCAAGCUUCUUGCCACCCUUCUGCUUCCUGUCAUCUUCCUUUUUCUUCUGCUGAGGAAAUUGAACUCUUGAGGAUUCUGAUGACACUGCAGAUUUUCUUCAAAAAUGCUGCAAAUGAGUUAAGUUGAUGAGAACCUAGAGAUUCAUCAGCUGACAUUUUUGUACCUGUGAAUAGAGUAUAGUUGCAAGGAAUUUGGAGAGGUUAUAUGCGUUCUCAGAUUUGAAGAAGGUGAAUUUUUUUUUAAAGUUGAGGAAUUUGACCAGUGGGUUGAGCAAUUUGUCUAAGCACUCUGAUCUUGGGUUCCAGAGUUGUACAGAUUCGAAAAUUUGCACAAUUGAGGAAUCUCGUGAAGACUUUUAGUUGCUUAGUGAAAUUCAUCAACAGUUUGAGGAAUAAGCAGUGUUUGAGGAACAGAGAUUGAUAGACACUGAGGAAAACAUAUUCCACGAAUCUAACGUAAAAUAGUAGAUUGAAAGGGACUGUAAAAAUAGGGUUUUAUUUACCCUAUAUAGCAUGAAGAACAGAAGAAGUAGCAGUAGAUGCUCUUCGGUGCGAGUCCACUGUGCCCUAACUUGGCGACAGAAGACGGCUAUGGCGGCGGCGGAUGAAGACGGUCCGGUUCCGGCGUGAUUUCGGCGGCGGAGAGGUCGAGGCAGUGAAGCUGUUCCUCGUUGGCGACGAAGCUUCUAGCGGUGGUGCUAGGUCUUCGUUGUAGCAGAGAGGAGGUCGAGAGAGAGAACAAAGAGUUUUGACCGAAGGGGGUAAUGACAUAUUUAUAGCUCAGGUGAAAACUGUCUGCCGAUUCUUUCGGACCGAACUACCCUUUCCCUUUCGUCUCCACAGGACACGUGUAGCAACUGUUUAAAGCGGUGGAGAUCGUGCUUAUCUGAUCAUGGAAAGUGGGGUUCAUUUACUGUGUAACAAUAUAAAAAUCAUUUUUGAGAAUUUGAUGAUUUUGUUACAAAAUCAUCAACUUACAAGGACGCUGUGAAGAUUUUGAACAAAGUUUCAAGUAGAACGCAUAUGAAGAAUUGAAUAGACUGGGUGAGUAUAGCAUAGAGGGGAAGUAGGGUCCGAUCACAUUCACUUAGAUGAAAUAUCAAGUUGAAAAAUAGCUAUAAGUGAAUGUUGUUGAGGACUUUGAAAUCACAGUCUAUAUAUAUAUCUAGGCAAAUGAAAAUCAUCAAGUGUUUUUGAAGAUUUUGAUUAACUUGAGGAUUUUGUGACAAAGCGCCAUGUUGAUGAAUUUCAGCUUUGAAUACCCCCCCCCCCCCCCCGUUUGAAGAAAAACAACUUUGAAAAAAAUCAACUUUGAGGAAAAACAACCUUGAAGAAAUUCAACUUGAGGAAUUUCAAAGUUGGGUGGUGGCGUGACCCACCGUAUAAGAAUGAUGAUUUCAGGCACCGCGUACAAUUGUCGUAGGGUCCUGAGAAUCAAUUUCUUCAUUAAUUUCCUCACACUAAGAGUGAUAUUCUUCAUUGGUUGAAGAAAAUCGAUUCUUCAUGUGUUGCACAUCUAAGUCAUCAAUUUUGCGUAAGUGUUAGGAUAUGUGCAUGUUUUUACAAAACAUUUGAAGAUUCUAAGAUAUUUAGCUCACACCGCAACUUGCAAAACCUUUUCUCAUCCAAGGGCUUGGUGAAGAUAUCUGCUAGUUGAUCGUCGGUCUUCACAUGUUCGAUGAGGAUAUUGCCCUUGAGGACAUGGUCCCGAAGAAAAUGAUGACGAAUCUGGAUGUGCUUAGUCUUCGAGUGUUGUACAGGGUUGUAUGCAAUCUUGAUUGCACUCUCAUUGUCGCAGUAGAGAGGCACAUUCUUCAUGUUGAUGCCGUAGUCCUUGAGGGUCUGCUUCAUCCAUAGUAAUUGAGCACAACAUGAACCAGCAGCAAUGUACUCAGCUUCGGCAGUGGAGAGAGAAACGCAGUUCUGUUUCUUUGAGGACCAGCAGACUAAUGAUCUUCCAAGGAAAUGACAUGUUCCAGAAGUUGACUUGCGAUCCACACGGUCAUCAGCAUAGUCAGAAUCAGAAUAUCCCACAAGAUGAAGAUUUGAGCCCUUGGGAUACCAUAAUCCUAGUGUUGGUGUGUGAGCUAAGUAUCGAAGAAUAUGCUUCACAACCUUAUGGUGUGAUUCCUUCGGUUUUGCUUCAAAACGUGCACACAUGCAAACACUAAGCAUUAUAUCUGGCCUAGAUGCACACAAAUACAAUAAAGAGCCAAUCAUGGAGCGAUAUACCUGCUGAUCGAAUUCUUUACCAUUUUCGUCAGUGCAGAGGUGGUCGUUGGUAGGCAUUGGAGUCUUGGCACCUUUGCAUUCAUGCAUGUCGAAUUUCCUUCGAACAUCCUUGAGGUAUUUCUCCUGUGAUAUGAAGAUCCCAUUGCGUUGUUGACGAAUUUGAAGACCUAAGAAGAAUUUCAGCUCCCCGUCAUAGACAUCUGAUAUUCUUCACUCAUCAUGUAAGCAAAUUCAUCACUAUAACGUCUGUCAGUACAGCCAAAUAUGAUGUCAUCGACAUAUAUCUGGCAUACAAAUAGUUCAUUAUCAUAGGAUUUUGUGAAAAGAGUUGGAUCGAGUGAACCAGGUUUGAAGCCUUUCUUCAUGAGGAAUCCCUUCAAUGUAUCGUACCACGCCCGAGGGGCUUGCUUGAGACCAUAGAGUGCCUUUUUGAGUCUGAAGACUUUGUCUGGAUUCUUUGGAUCCUCAAAACCUAGGGGCUGAGCAACAUAUACUUCUUCCUCAAGCUUACCAUUGAGGAAUGCACAUUUCACAUCCAUUUGAUAUAAGAUAAUGUUAUGAUGAUUAGCAUAAGCAAGUAGUAUUUGAAUAGCUUCAAGUCUAGCAACGGGUGCAAAAGUUUCAUCGAAAUCAAUUCCUUCAACCUGUGAGUAGCCUUGGGCUACAAGUCGUGCCUUAUUCCUCACCAUUUGACCAUCCUCAUCUUGCUUGUUUCGGAAAAUCCACUUGGUGCCAAUGAUAUUGUGCUUGCAAGGAUCUGGUAGUUUGACGAGCUCCCAUACGUCAUUCAGCUUCAAUUGAAAAAGUUCGUAUUACAUGGCUUGAAUCCACUCCGGUUCCGUGAAAGCCUCAACAACUUUUGAAGGUUCUGUGAUAGACAAAAAAGAAGAAUGCCCACAAAAGUUAACUAAGUGUGAAGCUUUUGAGCGAGUGAGAGGACCUGGCGCGUUGAUGUCAUCGAGGAUUUUGUCGAGUUCUACUUCAUUUGCAAUCCUCGGAUGAGCUGGUUGAGGAUUUCGUCUGGGUUGAGGAAUUGGUUCUGGAGCAAUUUCCUCAGGAGCAUCUUCUUGAUUUUCAUCAGUGCUGGGAAUGAUUUCUUCAGCAAUUUCCUUAGUGGGAACAAGGUCUUCAGUAGCUUUGAGCUUUAUUGCUUCCUCAGGAGACAACUUAUCUGGAUCAGGAGGCAAUUGCUCUCUUUGCGAGCCAUUAGUUUCAUCGAACCGCACAUCUACAGUUUCGACAACCUUGUUGUGAUAGGUGUUGAAGACUCUGUAGGUGUGCGAGUCCUUUCCAUAACCAAGCAUAAAACCCUCAUGUGCCUUAGGUGCAAACUUUGAGCUAUGGUGAGGAUCUCUAAUCUAGCAUUUUGCACUGAAGACUUUGAAAUAACUUACAUUGGGUUUCUUGUCAGUGAGGAGUUCAUAUGAGGUUUUCUUGAGGAAUUUGUGAAUAUAUACCCUGUUGAUGAUAUGGCAAGCAGUGUUGAUUGCUUCAGGCUAGAAACGACGAGGAGUCUGAUAUUCUUCAAGCAUGGUUCUUGCCAUCUCAACAAGAGUCAUGUUCUUUCUUUCGACGACGCCAUUCUGUUGAGGAGUAUAAGGAGAAGACAAUUUGUGAGUAAUACCAAGUUCAUCAAGAUAAUUAUGAAUACUAGUGUUUUUGAAUUGAGUUCCAUUAUCACUCCUGAUGUGUUUGAUCUUGACGCCGAAGUUCGUCGAGGCCCUUGAGGAAAAUCGUUUGAAGACUUCCUGCACUUCAGUUUCAUACAGAAUGAUAUGCACCCAAGUGUAUCUUGAAUAAUCAUCAACUGUGACAAAUCCAUAUAAAUAUGCGGCAUUUGUUAGUGUGGCAUAAUGAGUAGGUCCAAAUAGAUCCAUGUGAAGCAAUUCAAAUGGACGAGUAGUGAUCAUGAUAGUCUUCGAGGGGUGCUUGGAUCUGGUCAUUUUCCCAGAUUCACAAGCACCGUAGAGGUGGUCCUUGAGGAAUUUGACUGAUUCGAUGCCAAUGACAUGCUUCUUCUUCAUGCCUGCAUGACUAACUCUUCGAUGCCAUAGCCACCCUUCUGAGGUUUUUGCUAGUAAGCAAGUGGCUAGUUGCGGACCUGUAGAGAAAUCAACAAUGUACAAAUCCCCUCUUCUAACACCUUGGAAGACUUUGGAUCUGUCAGAUUCCAUGAUGACAACACAUCUAUAUCUUCCAAAGAUAACAACCAUAUCAAGAUCACAAAGCAUUGAGACUGACAUGAGGUUAAACCCAAGGGAUUCUACAAGCAUCACUUUGUCCAUGUGCCUGUCCUUGGAAAUAGCCACUUUGCCAAGUCCCAAUACCUUGCUUUUACCUUUGUCAGCAUAAGUGAUUUGUUUCAGGUGUGAUGGAGUUAGUGGCAUAUUCAUCAGCAAGCUUUUGUCACCAGUCAUGUGAUGUGUGCAGCCAUUAUCAAGAACCCACUCAGUACUCUUGGGUUUGUCAUCCUGUAGAUGAAUUAGUACAGCUUACCAUCUCAUAUGCUUCAGACUUGAAGAAUAUGAUAUCAAUGUCAUCAGAUAGGAAUUUCAUCAUAAACAGUAAUUAUGAGGACAUGUGAAAUAUUUUCAUUUCAUCAAUAUUAGCUUGCGUCCUAUCAAGCAUUUUCCUCAGGUCUCCAGCAAAUUCUUCAGAUGAUGAAUUUCAUCUGGAGACCUGUCUUGCAGAAGUGAUUAGUUCAAUUUCUUCACCACCCACAUCUGAAGGGGUGGUAAAGCAUUCAUCAUCCUGCGAGCACCAUAUGAGAAAGGGGGCAUUGAAGCUAAUGCACUUCUCUUAACAGUAGGGGGUUAAAGUACUCAAAUGAAUAUGCAGAGAAUUUCUUUGAGGAUUUAUGGACAUAAUGAUUUGAAGAAUAACGCUCAUAUUCAUAUUCCUUGUAAUUUCCCUGCAUGUUAGAAGCAUUAGCAUGGGUACGAGCAUAGUUGUGACCAGUUGAGGAUUUUGAUCCUCUUGAAGACUUUGGUCCUCCUGAGGAAUUUGAUCUGGUGUCCAGAUUCUUCAUAGGUGGUGUCAUGAGGACAUUCACCUCAAGAUUUUCAAGGCAACUUUUUGGGACCCAGAUUUUCCUCAGGGGUGGUCCAUUCCUGCAAUUAGUUCCAACAUAUCGAGCAAAUACUUCACCAGAUUGAUUUUUGAACAGUUUAUAGUUGGAGUCAAAUGACUCAUCUGAGGAAUAAGAUAAUUCACAUGAAAAGCCUGUUAGAUUGGAUGGAUCAACAGGAGGCCCUUUAGCAGCAACCCAUGAGGUUUUGGAAUACUUCUCAGGUUUCCAGUAUGAUCCAUCAGCAUUCAAUUUCCUCUCAAAGGCAAUUCCUUCUUUCCUCGGGUUCCUGUUCAAAAUCUGCUUUUUGAGCACAUCGCAAAGGGUUUGGUGCCCUUUGAGACUUUUGUACAUGUCUGUCACAUACAAUUCCUUCAGCCCUGCAUUUUCAUCAGUGGCAUUUGUGGUUUCCUCAAGUGAGGAAUUUGAUACUACAAGAGCAGUUGAAGAAUUUGUAGCAAUAGAAGCAUUUGAUGAUUCUGGUGAAGAAUUAGCAGUUUCAUGUUCGAUGCAUUUAAGACAUGGAGGAAUGAAUUUAGCCUGAGCGACACUGAUUUGUUGAGCGAGUAAUGAAUCAUUUUCCGUUCGAAUAUCAUUGAUGACCCACAAGUGUAGGGGAUCUAUCAUAGUCCUUUCGAUAAGUAAGAGUGUCGAACCCAACGAGGAGCAGAAGGAUCUGACAAGUGGUUUUCAGCAAGGUAAUCUCUGCAAGCACUGAAAUUAUCGGUAACAGAUAGAUGUGUGGUAAGAUGAUUCGCAACAAGUACCAGGUAACAAUAGUAACAAAAGUGUAGAAAAGUGGCCCAAUCCCUUUUGUAGCAAGGGACAAGCCUGGACAAACUCUUAUAGGAGGUAAAGCGCUCCCGAGGACACAUGGGAAUUUUUGUCAAGCUAGUUUUCAUCAUGUUCAUAUGAUUCGCGUUUGCUACUUUGAUAGUUUGAUAUGUGGGUGGACCGGUGCUUGGGUGCUGCCCUUACUUGGACAAACAUCCCACUUAUGAUAAACCCCUCUCGCAAGCAUCCGCAACUAUGAAAGAAGAAUUCAGACAAAGUCUAACCAUAGCAUUAAACUAGUGGAUCCAAAUCAGCCCCUUACGAAGCAACGCAUAAACUAGGGUUUUAGCUUCUGUCACUCUAGCAACCCAUCAUCUACUUACUACUUCCCAAUGCCUUCCUCUAGGCCCAAAUAAUGGUGAAGUGUUAUGUAGUCGACGUUCACAUAACACCACUAGAGGAAAAAAACAUACAACGCAUCAAAAUAUCGAACGAAUACCAAAUUCACAUGACUACUUAUAGCAUGACUUAUCCCAUGUCCUCAGGAACAAAAGUGACUACUCACAAAGCAUAAUAAUAUUCAUGACCGGAGAGGUAUUGAAUAGCAUCAAGGAUCUGAACAUAUAAUCUUCCACCGAGUAAUCCAACUAGCAUCAACUACAAAGAGUAAUUAACACUAUUAGCAACCUUACAAGUACCAAUAGGAGUCGCGAGACGGAGAUUGGUUACAAGAGAUGAACUAGGGUUUGGAGAUGAGAUGGUGCUGAUGAAGAUGUUGAUGGUGAUGAGUCCCCUCCGAUGAGAGGAGUGUUGCUGAUGACGAUGGCGACAAUUUCCCCCUCCAGGAGGGAAGUUUCCCCGGCAGGACGACCACGCCGGAGCUGUAGAUUGGUUGUGCUCAAGUUCCACCUCAUGGCGGUGGCGAUUCCUCCCAAAAGCAUCCUCUUGAUUUUUUUGGAACGAAACCCUCCUUAUAGCAAAAGAGGGGGGGCCGCCAGGGGGUAGGCCGCGCCUAGCAGGCUUGUGGCCUCCUGCUGGCUCCCCUCUGGUACUUCUUCGGCCCAGUAUUUUUUAUAAAUUCCAAAAUAAAUCCUCGUUGAUUUUCAUGGCUUUUGGAGUUGCGCAGAAUAGGUAUCUCAAACUUGCUCCUUUUUCAAGCCAGAAUUCCAGCUGCCGGCAUUCUCCCUCUUCAUGUAAGCCUUGCAAAAUAAGAGAGAAAAGACAUAAGUAUUGUACCGUGAAGUGUAAUAACAUCCCAUAAAGCGAUAAAUAUCAACAUAAAAGCAUGAUGCAAAAUGGACGUAUCAAUCAUCAUGAGAAAUCCUGAGCUUCUCAAGGUCAAGUUUCCAUUGAAGAAAUUCGUAGGAAAGUUUCUCAUGAUCAGCGAGGAGUGUGACAUGACGAUCUUGAAGGUUAUCAAAUCUGGAAUGAGGACUUUUCAUAUCUUUAGUGAAGAUUUGGGUAAGAUUCAUUUCAUCAUUCAACAUGUCAUCGCUUCUGUCUAGCAGUUUCUGAAGCUUUUCUAGGGCAGUUUGUUGUUUAGUAGCAAUGAUAGCAAGUUUACCGUAACUGGGUUUUUUAUAAUCAUCAGGUUCACAGUCACUUGAAUCAGAGGAGGAAGCAUCAUUCGGUACCUUUGAACCUUUUGCCAUGAACCAAUAGGUUGGAGCGAAGUCAUCAGUGUGUAUGGUGUUAUCAUUUUCUUCAAGGUUGAAGAUUGACUUGCUGACGAAUGUGGUUGCAAGUGCAAGACUAGCCUGUCCAGAUUCUAAGUCUUCAUCGGAACCCUCAUCUUCAUCACAUUCCUCACAUUCUGCCUCAGAAUCCAUUUCUUUGCCAAUAAGUUCCCGAGCUUUUCUGAAACUAGUCUUCUUGUGCGAUGAGGACUUUGAGGAUGAGGAUUUUGAAGAUUUCUUCUUUUUCUUUGAGUCAUCAGAACUUUCAUCCUUGUAUUUCUUAUUCUUUGAUUCCUUCACCGAGUGAGGACAAUCAGCAAUGUAGUGACCUGAUUUCUUGCAUUUGUGGUAGGUUCUUUUCUUGUAGUCCUCAGAUGAAGAUUCUGAUUUCCUCAUAUCUCUUCUUGAAGAUUUACCAAACUGACCAUGUCUUGUAAACUUCUGGAAUUUCCUGACGAGCAUUGCAAGCUCCUGUCCAAAUUCUUCAGGAUCACCAAUGUUGCCAUCCGAGUCUUCUUCUUCGGAUGAGGAAAUUGCUUUGGCCUUCAGUGCACGAGGUCUAGAAUAGCUUGGUCCAUAUAGAUCUCUCUUUUCUUCUUGUUGGAAUGCAUGAGUAUUGAGUCUUUCGAGUAUAUCAGCAGGAUCGAGCAUCUUGUAGUCUGCUCUUUCUUGAAUCAUCAGAACUAAAGUAUCAAAUGAAGAAUCCAAAGAUCUUAGCAGUUUCUUCACAACUUCAUGAUCAGUAAUGUCUCGAGCUCCUAGUGCUUGCAGUUCAUUUGAUAUGUUAGUGAGGCGAUCAAAGGUAUCUUGGCAGCUUUCAUUGUCAAGCCUCUUGAAGCGAUUGAAGAGAUUGCGAAGAACAUCAACACGAGAAUCAUGCUGGGUUGAUACUCCUUCAUUUACUUUGUAAAGCCUUUCCCAGAUAAGUUUUGCUGAGCCCAAAGCACUCACUCUGCCAUAGUGACCUUUGCUCAGAUGGCCACAAAUGAUAUUCUUCGCUUGAGAAUUAAGUUGCUUGAAUUUCUUCACAUCAGCGGCAGAGACAGUAGCAGUGAUGAUAGGGACACCAUGUUCCACAAUAUACCAAAGAUCAUUGUCAAUAGCUUGUAGAUGCAUCUGCAUCUUGGUCUUCCAGAAGGGAAAAACUUUUCCUUCGAAAGUAGGACAUCCUCCGGUAACCUUGACCAUGCCUGCAGUCGACAUAACUAAAACUCUAGGUGGUUAAACCAAAAUCACACAGAACAAGGGAGUACCUUGCUCUGAUACCAAUUGAAAGUGCGUUAUAUCGACUAGAGGGGGUGGAUAGGAUAUUUUUAGAAUUUCAUCACUGAGGAAAUUCCUUUUGAGGAAAUUCCUCAUUGAUGGCUAACUUGCAGCGGAAACAACAAAGGAUCUGGGGUGCAAAGUAUCACUACAACAAUUUUCAAGGUGAAGAAUAUGAAAAGCAGUUUGCACAGUAUGCAGGCACAGGGAAAGCAUGUCAGGAUUAACUCGCGUGAAGAAUUUGGGGUUGAGGAAUUUCGGAGAAAGUCUUCAGCAAAUUCUUCAAACAGUGACAAUGAAAAUCUUCAACAUACAAUAUGAGGAAUUGAAAGAAUUGAAGAAAUAGAACCUGUUUCACAGUGAAGACUAUGGUUGAUGACCCAGUUCCAACUGUUGUGACAGUUGUACAUCUGGUUUGGAGCGGCUUGGUAUUGAAACCAAAAGACACACAGUCCCUACCGUAUUCUCCUUGAGCUAAGAACACACAGUCCUCGCCCAACAUUCGUGGUAAGUCUUCAGAUCAAACGUCCAAACCCUCACAAACCUGUUCACUCGGUGAUCCACAAUUGACUGCUGGAUUGCUCUAGACCAUGACACCUAACCGUCUGGAGGAUGCAUAGUCCUCAAAGUUAAAAGGCUUCAGUCCCACACAGGAACAAAUUCUUCAGUGAUGCUCAAUUGUCACAUCCCUCACACCUUAAUCAAGUUAGCUUUGUGCUCAUGUUUUCUUUGCAUUGCAUCUAGGAAAUUUUCAACAAGAACAAAGUAAGUGGUGAAGGAAAAUUCAACAAACUCUAGCCACUUCUCAAAUUAAGGGAAAUUUCAAAACUAGUUAAAAUCAAUGAACCCAAAAUGGCCUUAAGAAAAGUUCAAUCUUUCUGAUAAUUCUUGAAAACAAAAAAGCAAUAAAGGAAACCAUUUAUUUUAUACUCUUGGCAUUUUAAAUAAAUGCAAAAGCUACUGGUUUCAAGUUUUAAAUUUGAAAUCAGAAACUUUAAGUUUUCAAAAAUGUUGAAACCUUUAGGAAUGAUUGGAUACAUUCCAACUCAUAUUUUGGUGUGUUCAAAAUAGUUUUUACAAACUAUUUUGGGAGCUGAAAUAAAUAGCAAAUAAAUAGUUGUCAAAACAUAAACAAAACAGAAAAGAAAAGAGAAAGAAAAAAAGGAAAAACCUUACCUGUCGCCGUCCCAGCCCACCAGGGGCUCCCUGGUCAUCUUCCUCCUCCUGCCAGUAGGCAGGGGAGAAGAUGAGCACGGCGGCCGAGCCCGGCCACCUCCUGCCUGCCUGCCCGCUGCUGGAGGCCUCCAGGAGCGCCAGCGUGACGCCUGCGCCUUCUUAUCCUCCUCCCCGCGGCUCUAUCCUCUCCCCUAAGCUUCAAUCCCCUUUUCCCCCUCUCGGAUCUCUCUCUCCCCGAAGCUCCGAUCGUCGUCGAUCCGUCGUCUCCCGGUCCUCCCCGACCCUGCCGGCAGCCUCACAAGAUCCGUCGUGAGCUCCUCUUCCUGUUCCCCCUCUUCCCGAGGCUUUCCCCCUCCUUUAAUCAUGUUAUCCGCCGGAGCCCGAAGGACCUCGUCGCCGGCCAUGUCAUUGUCGUCGUUGUGGUACUCAGCUCGCGAGGCCGAGCUCAGGAAUGAGCUCCUCGAGCUCUGUAGAUGGCGUAGGGCUUCUCUCCCAGCUCGCUAGUCCCCUGCAUCGGCACUCCCGUCGAUGCCCGAGCCACAGCCGCCACUGAACUCAUCGCCGGCGUGGAUUCCGGUGACCACCGGGUCCAGCUCCACUCCCUUUAGAUGCGGCGUUUCACUAGCUGCCCGUAGCACUAUUCUGCGCCCAAAACCGACGGCCGUAGCGCCGUUUAGCUCUCUUCGGCGAGCCCUCCGCCGCGCCCAUGGUCGCCGCCGGCCAUAUUCCGGCGAGGAACGACGUGGCUAGCCUAACCCAGAAGUUUAAAGACUAAACACUCACUGACAGUGGGCCCAAGGCCAAGUCAAACCCACUUAGGGGCUGGUCAGCGCGGGAUUAGCCCCUGAGACGCUGACCAGUGGGUCCCCCUGUCAGGUUUGACCUCAUCAGGUCAGUUGACCUGCUGAUGUCAGGCUGACGCAAUAAAGGGGUUUUCCAGUAUAAAAAUAAUUCCAAAAAUGUUUAAAACUUCUAAAAUUCAUAGAAAUUAAUCUGUAACUCCAAUGAAAAUAAUUUAUAUAUGAAAAAGUAUCAGAAAAAUUCAAGGAAUCUGAAUAUCUCAUUUUAAAACAUGUUUGAAAAUGUUACAAAACUCAAACAUGUACAUUAAUGAAUAAGUUAAUUCUUAUAAAUACUUUGUAGAUGGAAUUUGGAAAAUAUUUAAAUUUCACUAUAAAUGACAUGAUCAAACACUGUCCUAAUUACAAACCAGCAACCUAACAUGUCAUCCCAUGCAUGUAAAAGAAGUAGAUCUGAGCGUCGGGUCGAAUCAAUUAAAAUGAUAUUCGAGAAUACCUCGUUUGAAGUGAUAUUGAAUUUGAUUCAAAUCAACUUCAAACCUAAUACAUGUUAGCCAUAAUAGUAUAUCACCUUGCAUCCUCAUGCCAUGCUCAUGCGUCAUAUUGAUUGCAUAUGUUUGAUAUUGAUUGUUGUCAUUCCUUUCGGUAGGCUCCGCUCCCCCGGAUUCCACCGAAUAUCCGUCUGACGGAUAUUGUCACUCCUCUGAGCAACAAGGCAAGCAACCAUUUUUGAUCAUCCCGAUAAAUCCCAUGUUCUUGCUCCUCCACUUACUUAUUGCAUUAGGAUCAAAUGCUUUUGCCACGUUAGUUGAACCCACUUCCUUUGCAUGACCUAUCCUUGUCACAGUAAAUAGCUGAACCUUGCAACCUAGCAUACCUGGUAGUUGCUUGAGCCAUGAUGUGCCUUAUCCUGCUAUGCAUGUUAUGCUUAGAGUUGUGUAUGGUCUGUCAUCUCGGAGAUGAGCAGAAUUGUGAGAAUGUGUUCGGUGAGCAAAGGUUGUGUGUCGAACCUAAUUUGGUAAAGGUACCGGUGAAAGGCUAUGUAGGAGUACAUGGCGGGUUGUUUCAUUGGAACCGUCCUUAGGAACUGAGUUCCGUGUAUGUAAUCCAAGACGAGAUACUACCACAUGUUGGGCCCUGAAAUAUGACCCUGCUCGACUUAUUAAUCGCUUAGUACUCGGUCCAGGAGUUGCAAGUAGUUUCUGGUGUUUAUAGUCAUGCUGGAGGCCGUGCAUGGUGCUGACCUGAGAGGUGGGCUGUGAUGCGGUAGGCAGUGGCACGGUGUACCAAGUGGCACCCGGAUGGUGGGCUUGGGAACCCUGCACACAUCGUUUGAGGCCGUGGCGGAAACCUCGGCCGGACUUUCGUACGGGUUACUCUCAGAUAGGCGAUAAACCUGGACUAGGUACUAAUGUGGUUAACGGUCAUGGCCGACUCCCUCGCUGGGCUUCCGCUUGAAGGUUGCCGAGGUGCAUGACAUGCACAUGGCGAUAAGCGGCGAGAGCGUGUGUGACGAAGUACACCCCUGCAGGGUUAUGAUCUAUUCGAAUAGCCGCGUCCGCGGAUAUGGACUACUUGGAGACAUAUGUUGUUCAUAGAUAACUUAAAUGGCUACUCUUAAAAUUGUCAAGAUAAGCGUGAGUGUCGCGGACGGCAUUUCCGUAUGGAGACGGAAUGAUUCCACGAUGGUGUAUUGUUGUGGUGUUAGUGGACUAGUGUGCGAGAAAUCAAGUUGUCAAAAUUAUUUUAAAACGCAAGUUGUCUAGCCACGAGUCAAAUGCUGGCUUUCCGCUUUAAACCCCACAAUACCCUAUUGAUACAUUGCAUGAGUAGAUAGUUAUCCUAAAGUCUUGCUGAGUACCUCCGUACUCAUGUUUGCUUAAUAAAUGUUGCAGAGGUUGCUAAUGACCCUAAUGAAGGGUUCUUCAUAGACAUCAACGACGACGAGUAGUUGGUGUCCCAGCUACGAUCUGGCCCUAGGAUGGGUCUGUAGUAUAGUCAGGCCAUGUGCCUUCUAGUUGCACCUGUCUGUACUCGGACAGUUUUAAACACUUCCGCUGGCUUGUAACUGAAUGACUGCUAUUAUGGGUCGUGAGACCCUUACUGUGUAAUAUUAUGUGUGUGGCUCUUCUGAGCCUUUUAAAUAAAGCUUGUAUGUUUAUGGUUAUGUUGUGAUGCCAUCGAUGUAUCUAUACAUAUCGGUAUGCCAUGCGUACGUGUGUCGUACUUGAUAUGUAUGGGGUUCGAUUACCUAGCCGUGAACUUUAGUAGCACUCCUUACAGGGAAAUGCCCCUUUGUGAUCCAACGAGCCAUGGUAGCUCGCUNNNNNNNNNNNNNNNNNNNNNNNNNNNNNNNNNNNNNNNNNNNNNNNNNNNNNNNNNNNNNNNNNNNNNNNNNNNNNNNNNNNNNNNNNNNNNNNNNNNNCACAUCGCAUCCCUUUGCGGUCUCACGCACGGUUAACCCCACGGCUGCAGCCUUACCUUAGCCGGGACCGCUUGCGUCUUUUGACUCACGUAUGCAACUGUGUCGCUAGGAUUCCAAUGUCAAAGAACCCGGAUCGACAAGUCUAGUCAUAAACCAAAGUGGCAGUACCGCACAGGGACAGGCAUACAUGACCCAACAAAGCAGGUGUCGGUCACCAGCGAAUGUAGAGGAGUCGUAGCAAGCUACAAGGACUCCAUUACACCGCGUGACAUUUCCCCAAAGGGGACAGACACAACAGCUAAGAAGGACACAUGCCGGUCAACCAAUGUGUCCGGAGCAGUAGCGAGCUACCAUGGCUCGUUGGAUCACAAAGGGGCAUUUCCCUGUAAGGAGUGCUACUAAAGUUCACGGCUAGGUAAUCGAACCCCAUACAUAUCAAGUACGACACACGUACGCAUGGCAUACCGAUAUGUAUAGAUACAUCGAUGGCAUCACAACAUAACCAUAAACAUACAAGCUUUAUUUAAAAGGCUCAGAAGAGCCACACACAUAAUAUUACACAGUAAGGGUCUCACGACCCAUAAUAGCAGUCAUUCAGUUACAAGCCAGCGGAAGUGUUUAAAACUGUCCGAGUACAGACAGGUGCAACUAGAAGGCACAUGGCCUGACUAUACUACAGACCCAUCCUAGGGCCAGAUCGNNNNNNNNNNNNNNNNNNNNNNNNNNNNNNNNNNNNNNNNNNNNNNNNNNNNNNNNNNNNNNNNNNNNNNNNNNNNNNNNNNNNNNNNNNNNNNNNNNNNUUCUUCUUCUUCUUCUUAGGAGGCGGCUUGGUUGUUUUCUGGACAAUCACCUUGGGCCUUCGAGACCAAAAUGUUGAUCCUCUCUGAUUGAUAUAAUGACAGUUCAAAUCUGGAACAUUGGUGAAUAUAUUGAAAGAAUAAAAGGAGGCGACUUAGGUUGUUACUGGUGGAGGCGGGUUGGAGAGGCAGAAAGGCUUGAGCCCAAUCUUGGAGCAGUUCUCUAAAGGCUCGCUAGUUAACUUCUUGAUCAUUUCAACAAUGUCUUCUUCAGUAAGUCUUGUAUGGAAGAAACAUUGGGGGUGGUUCAAGCUACCAUCAUACUCACACAUCAGGCCAUCCCGACGACUCAAAGGCAGAAUCCUCCACUCCACCCAACAACAUAUUAGGUCAAUCCCAGUAAGCCUGUUGUUGGUCAAAGACCUUAGCUUGGAGAAAGCACGGAUAAAAGUUGAUUCUUCUUCUUCACUUAGUUUUUCUGGCAGCUUGAAAUCCAUGGGCAAGCGUUCUUCCGUGAAACCCGGAACUGGGUUCUCGUUGGGUGGAGAUGUGUCCAGCCUUUGGGAUGGUUGGGAAGAAUGAUAGAUGGGAACCCGCAUUCACAUCAUGGUUGAAUGUUAACCACGCCCCCAAGUUCCAAGCAGGGCCUGCUGGUGAAUUCGGUUUGGCGGUUCAAAUAGAAGAAUUUCCUAAACAGUAGCACUGUGGGUUCUAUCUGCAGAUAAGCCUCGCAAAACACCUGGAAUUGGCAGAGGUUGCUGAUGGAGUUUGGCCCCAAGUCUUGAUGGUGAAGGUUGAGAAAGUGCAAAACAUCUCUGAAAAACUUUGACCCGGGAAGCUUGAAGCCUCGUUCAAGGUGAUCAACAAAAACGACUACCUCCCCAUCGGCAGGGUGGAGAGUCGCCUCACCUGGGGCGGUCUGCCAGCCAACGACUUCUUUGGGGUCAAGAUAACCCGCCUUAACAAAUUUAUCAAGAUAGACAUCGUUGAUUUUGAUUGGUAACCAAUUGCAUUUCGAGAUAGUGCCCAUGACUACAAAAGGAAGGAACAAGACGGUUUAUUAGAAACCACAUAGUGGCAACUCGCUAGUUGGAUGAUCUACAUUACAACUACGGGGAUAUUAUGACUCGCCAAUUAAAUAAGCAAAGGUGUAUCUAUGGGGAUAUUCUAACUUGCCAUGGUGGAAGGAGGCGAGUAGCAAUUCUAAAAGGGUUUUUCCUUAGGGAUAUUCCCGGAAGGAGGAUAAAACAUGUUUCUAAAGACGAGCGAUAAUUUACGGAUCUACGGGUGGAUCAAAUUAAAGAAAUAAUGCGCGUCAAAACUACGGAGGCUAUGAAUGCAAGAACGCGACAGGGAUGACAUAUGAAUCCAUGAAGUAAACACUAAGUGGCCAGGUGAUGCGAUGAAACUACCACGAUUUAUUACUGCAAAGGAUUUACAAUAAACAUGUUGAACGGAUCCAAGAUGGAGGAAGUGGUGUUCAUAGCAUUCCGGGGCUGACCUAGAAGAACAUGGGCAUUCAAGGUUUAACCCUAAUGGAUGAAGAAUGUUUACCUGAAAAAGGAGGGCGAUGCCGAGAGAUGGUUGCGGAGGAUCCGCGAUGGAGAUCGCGCUUUUUACUGCCUGGGGACAUCCAGACUGCGGUGGCCAGCGACGGAGCUUCGGGAACGGCGAGGAGGCCGAAGCGCGGGCUUGAGGAAGACGAAGCAGUCGAGGAGAUGAAGUGGAGGUAGGUGACGGCGCCCCCACUCCCCUGCGGUUAUUUAAAGGCCUAGGGAAAAAAUGAAACGGCAGGCGUGGGAAUCAAGGCGACAAGUUGAAAACCAGCAAUGAUGGCGCCAAAAUUUUCGGGAUAACAGGAUGAAGACGAAAAAGAUCUGUUGGGAGUGAUGUCAUCGGAUCCCAGGAAUGGAGGAAUGGGUGAUGUCAUCAAUAAGUGACUUGGCGACUCAGACAAAUUGUGAAGGAUGGCUGCUUGUCACUUAUGGAAAGGAUGGGAAUGGUACGAGUCGCCCAGGAUGAGCGUGGAAGUCUAUUGGCGUGAAUAAAUUCAAGUCAAUCUAGGGCCUAAUGUUGGGGAUAUUACCUGCGGUAUGACCCGCCCUAAUAGGUCGGGUCAGGAAAGUGGCGACUCAUACAUAUAUGACCAACAUAAGCCUUGGUUUGGGCUUAGGGCGUGUUGGGAUGUUUUGUAAGAAGGCCGCCACGGCCCAUGAGCCGGAUGACGGUUCAAGGAUGGCGAAGAAGAUGAGCCGCCAAGGAGUUUUCCUCGGCUUGAGGUACACGGCGACUUAGAGAUAAGGAAGGCCACGAUUUGUAAUGUGGCCAGGACUUUGUAAACCCUGGGGCCUCGACCUGUAUAUAAAGGCGAGUCUCUGGGGCGAAUAGAUCAGGUUAGAAGUCAUCGAGAGCUAGGUCAGGCGGGUUACGCCCCCUUGUAAUCGAAUCCACCAUCAAUAUACACAAAGCAGGACGUAGGCCUUUACCUCCACACGAGGGGCCAAACCUAGGUAAAUCUGAGGUUCGCUUUUGCUCACCCCCUUUGGGUCACCACCAAGGUGCGAUGGCUCCUUUAGUAAGUCCUUUCACGAGGACAUCUGUCGUGACAAAACCACGACAGACCGUCCAGGCGACCUCCUGGCGCGACCUACCCCCUGGCCGCGCUAGUAGGCCGCCUGGGUGGGGCCCACCUCCUCUGGUGCCAUCCUUUGGCCUAUAUUUAGUCCUUUGAGAGGAAACCCUUCUACAACUUCCAGAAUCGCGAAUUUCUCCAUCGUUCCAUCGUCGUGGCGCUUCUGAGAUCGGGAGCGUCACGAGACCUCUUCCCAGCACCAUGCCGGUGGGAGGAUUGACCUCCGGGAGCUUCUCCACCACCAUGGACACUUCCCGGACAUGUCGUGAUUAGUCCUCCUUUGACUACGGGUCCAUGACCAGUAGCUAUGUGAUGUCUUCUCUCCAAUCUUGUGCUUCAAUGGUUAGUCCUUGUGAUUUGCCCUACAUUAUCAAGGCAUCUAUGUAAUUAUCUUGCUAUUGCUAUGCUCGGUUUGUUGGGAUCCGAUGGAUUAUGAGAUUAUGUUCAGAUUGUUAUGAGUUAUAUAUUUGAUUAUCCUUUUAUAUUAUGUUCCUUAGUGAUUCAUGCAUGUUCUCCGUUGCUAUUUAUUGCUUUUGCCGAGUAGUAGAUUGCAACUCCAAGAGGGAGUGUUAUGCAUGAUUGUGGGUUCAUGCCCCUCGAUGUCCAGCUUGAUUGACAGAAACAUGAGACUAGGGGAUGUGAUUUUGCCACCAGGGAGAAAACAACGGUGCUUUGAGUUACCUUACGCAUAGUUCGUUAAUGCAGUUGUCCGUUGCUUUGAGUUUACACUUUGGGUGGGGCUCGCAACUUAAUACCGGCGAGAUGUUCUGAAUAGAUAUCUCAAGGUGGAUAAUUAGUAAGUAUAUGCUGAUGAAUAAACGGUCUACUUGUCUUGGCGUAUUGCCCAUUACUAUUAAACCUCUAACUAUCAAGUAGCAUAAUUAGCAUUGUGGAGCGUUCAUAAUCUUGUCAAUUGCCUAGCUAUAAUUUGUUUACCCAAGCAUAGUUGUUUAUCGUCUUUUGGCAGAGAGACAUCACUAGUGAACAUCACGUGACUCCGGUUCAUAUCACCAUCAUUGUUUACACCUCCAUCAUUUACCACUUUCAUUUACUUUUCCGUUGCAAUCACUAUUACUAUUCCCGCUUGUGUUUUGAUCCUUUGCAAACUACAAGGCCGGAGAGAUUGACAACCUCUCUGUACUCUUUGGGAGCAAAGUUAUUUGUUGUGUGUGCAGGUCCACGUCUUCUACUAGCGACAGGGCAGCAGACACCUACUUGUUGAUCCUAGGAGUCCUACUGGUUCGAUAAACCUUAUAGUCUCCGUGUGAGGGGAAGCUUGUUGCUAACUACAUCUCAACCUUCCACUUCGGGUAACCAACGAGGUGCGAGAAGUAUACAUCAUCUCCUCAUCAGUUGUUCGGGAGACCUUUUCACACUAACCUUCACAUGGGAGAAGUUAUGGGUACCCGACGUCGUGGUAUCACCCAAAGUUCUUUAGACGUCAGUGCUACCUCUUGAGCUUGCGUUGGUUUUUUCCCUUGAAGAGGAAAGGGUGACGCAGCACAGUAGCAGUAAGUAUUUCCCUCAGUUUGAGAACCAAGGUAUCAAUCCAGUAGGAGUAUCAAGAUGAAGCACCAAUUUACCUGCGCAAAAACAGCAAACUUGCACCCAACGCUACAAAGGGGUUGUCAAUCCCUUCACGAUUGAUUGCAAGGUGAGAUCUGAAGGCGAAAAGUGCAACAAAGUAAAAGUGUAGGGCUGAAAAUAUGAUGUGAAGUAGACCCGGGGGCCAUAUUGUUCACUAGAGGCUUCUCUCAAAAUAGCAAAUAUUACGGUGGGUGAACAAAUUACUGUCGAGCAAUUGAUAGAACCGCGCAAAGUCAUGAUGAUAUCUAGGGCAAUGAUCAUACAUAUAGGCAUCACGUCCGAGACAAGUAGACCGAUACUUUCUGCAUCUACUACUAUCACUCCACGCAUCGACCACUAUCCAGCAUGCAUCUAGUGUAUUGAGUUCAUGACGAACAAAGUAACGCCUUAAGAAAGAUGACAUGAUGUAGAGAAAUAAUUCAUGCAAUAGAUAUAAACCCCAUCUUUUUACCCUUGAUGGGAACAACAUGAUGCGUGCCUCGCUACCCCUUCUGUCACUAGGUGAGGUCACCGCAUGGUAUGAACCCAAAACCAAGCACUUCCCCCAUUGCAAGAAUCAUAGAUCAAGUUGGCCAAACAAAACCCACAACUCAAAGAGAAUUACAAGGAUAUGAAAUCAUAUAUAUAAGAGAUCAGAAGAAACUCAAAUAAAAUUCAUAGAUAAUCUGAUCAUAAAUCCACAAUUCAUCGGAUCUCGACAAACACACCGCAAAAGAAGAUUACAUCAGAUAGAUCUCCAUGAAGAUCAUGGAGAACUUUGUAUUGAAGAUCCAAGAGAGAGAAGAAGCCAUCUAGCUACUAGCUAUGGCCCCGAAGGUCUAUGGUGAACUACUCACGCAUCAUCGGAGAGGCAAUGGUGUUGAUGAAUAAGCCCUCUGUAUCCGAAUCCCCCCUCCGGCAGGGCACUAGAACGUGCCCAAAAUGGGAUCUUGCAGAGACAGAAGCUUGCGGCGGCGGGAAAGUAUUUUCGUGCAUCUCUCGUGGUUUUGGAUUUUUCGGGGAUUUAUUGGCAGAAGAAGUAGGGCAGACGAGCCACAGGGGUUCAAAAGCCUGCUAGGCGCGGCCCCCUGGCCGCGCCUAGGGGGCUUGUGGCCUCCCCUGGUGGCCUCUGCCUUGGUUUUCACGCCCCAUGCGUAUCUUCUGUUUCGGAAAAAAUCUUUUCGGACGUUUUAUUACGUUUGGACUCCGUUUAAUAUUCUCCUCUGAAAAGGGUCAAAAACACGAGAAAAACAGGAACUGGCACUUGGCACUUAGUUAAUAAGUCAGUCACAAAAAAGAUAUAAAAGGCAUACAAAACAUCCAAAGUUUGACAAGAUAAUAGCAUGGAACCAUCAAAAAUUAUAUAUACGUUGGAGACGUAUCACUUCGUACGAAGGAGGAGUCACCUUUUUAUUGCUAUCAUCAUACGCCGCCUGGUAUUUGUUUAAGUCUAGGCUGGCUGCUAGCUGAGUCGCCGCGGAGCGAGACUCUUUCACACAAUUGUGGUAAUCCUCUUCGGUGAACUCCGACUCGUCGUCUUUCAAUUCUGGGAAACCGGCACCUACCUCCUCUGGCUUAAGUUCGGGAGCAUAGGCCAGACACCGGAUUAGGGUGGUCAGUGCUCCUUUGCAGGCGGCUGAUAUUUUCAGUUCUUCUACUUGAGGUGGCAAUGUCGACAUGCAACCCAACAUAUGCUUGAUGGAUUUUAUUGGCUCUUUGUUGCCCAUCACAGCCUUCAUCGGCAUCAUGACUCCCAUAUAUAACUGCUUUGUAAAAGUAUAAAUCGCCUUCAGCUUCAGAAUGCAGUCAUUUUGGAGAAUGGCGGCUCGCUGACCUACAAAGGACAACAUGUGACAAUUAGUAUUUGCAAGAUGUUUUGCGACUCUUGUCAGAUGAAGGGAAUUGAUCCUUACCAAAGAUAACUUGGGUCAUGUUGGAGAUAUACUUUUUUAAACCGGAGAGUUCUUGAAGAGCGGCUUCUAGCUUCUCCUCGGCUUGUUCCACCCGCUUCAUGAUGGCGACUUGAUCAACAUGGGCUUUCUUAUCAAAUUUCUUAUGUUCAGCCUUCAUUUUCUCCAUGUCAGCAAGGGCCAACUGAUAUUUCUCUUCCGAUUUAGCCCGAGGAUCCUGCUGUUCGGCUAAAUUUUCUUUCAAACCAGCCAAUGUUGAGUCGGCCCGGGUCAAGGAUUCCCACAAACAAAUUUUGGGGAAGCAAGUUUCAGAACUGUUGCAAGCAACAUCCCUAACACUUGGGGGCUAAUGUAUGAUUCUUUUCAAGUCAUACCAGAUUCAAGAUCCGACUCAUCUUUCAAAAGAUGACCUGGCCCUUGGAGGCUACAGGUUGAAGUUUUUCACUAAAUUCAAGACCCAACUCAUCUUUCAAAAGAUGACCCGGCCCUUGGGGGCUACGGGNCAUUUACUUUUCCGUUGCAAUCACUAUUACUAUUCCCGCUUGUGUUUUGAUCCUUUGCAAACUACAAGGCCGGAGAGAUUGACAACCUCUCUGUACUCUUUGGGAGCAAAGUUAUUUGUUGUGUGUGCAGGUCCACGUCUUCUACUAGCGACAGGGCAGCAGACACCUACUUGUUGAUCCUAGGAGUCCUACUGGUUCGAUAAACCUUAUAGUCUCCGUGUGAGGGGAAGCUUGUUGCUAACUACAUCUCAACCUUCCACUUCGGGUAACCAACGAGGUGCGAGAAGUAUACAUCAUCUCCUCAUCAGUUGUUCGGGAGACCUUUUCACACUAACCUUCACAUGGGAGAAGUUAUGGGUACCCGACGUCGUGGUAUCACCCAAAGUUCUUUAGACGUCAGUGCUACCUCUUGAGCUUGCGUUGGUUUUUUCCCUUGAAGAGGAAAGGGUGACGCAGCACAGUAGCAGUAAGUAUUUCCCUCAGUUUGAGAACCAAGGUAUCAAUCCAGUAGGAGUAUCAAGAUGAAGCACCAAUUUACCUGCGCAAAAACAGCAAACUUGCACCCAACGCUACAAAGGGGUUGUCAAUCCCUUCACGAUUGAUUGCAAGGUGAGAUCUGAAGGCGAAAAGUGCAACAAAGUAAAAGUGUAGGGCUGAAAAUAUGAUGUGAAGUAGACCCGGGGGCCAUAUUGUUCACUAGAGGCUUCUCUCAAAAUAGCAAAUAUUACGGUGGGUGAACAAAUUACUGUCGAGCAAUUGAUAGAACCGCGCAAAGUCAUGAUGAUAUCUAGGGCAAUGAUCAUACAUAUAGGCAUCACGUCCGAGACAAGUAGACCGAUACUUUCUGCAUCUACUACUAUCACUCCACGCAUCGACCACUAUCCAGCAUGCAUCUAGUGUAUUGAGUUCAUGACGAACAAAGUAACGCCUUAAGAAAGAUGACAUGAUGUAGAGAAAUAAUUCAUGCAAUAGAUAUAAACCCCAUCUUUUUACCCUUGAUGGGAACAACAUGAUGCGUGCCUCGCUACCCCUUCUGUCACUAGGUGAGGUCACCGCAUGGUAUGAACCCAAAACCAAGCACUUCCCCCAUUGCAAGAAUCAUAGAUCAAGUUGGCCAAACAAAACCCACAACUCAAAGAGAAUUACAAGGAUAUGAAAUCAUAUAUAUAAGAGAUCAGAAGAAACUCAAAUAAAAUUCAUAGAUAAUCUGAUCAUAAAUCCACAAUUCAUCGGAUCUCGACAAACACACCGCAAAAGAAGAUUACAUCAGAUAGAUCUCCAUGAAGAUCAUGGAGAACUUUGUAUUGAAGAUCCAAGAGAGAGAAGAAGCCAUCUAGCUACUAGCUAUGGCCCCGAAGGUCUAUGGUGAACUACUCACGCAUCAUCGGAGAGGCAAUGGUGUUGAUGAAUAAGCCCUCUGUAUCCGAAUCCCCCCUCCGGCAGGGCACUAGAACGUGCCCAAAAUGGGAUCUUGCAGAGACAGAAGCUUGCGGCGGCGGGAAAGUAUUUUCGUGCAUCUCUCGUGGUUUUGGAUUUUUCGGGGAUUUAUUGGCAGAAGAAGUAGGGCAGACGAGCCACAGGGGUUCAAAAGCCUGCUAGGCGCGGCCCCCUGGCCGCGCCUAGGGGGCUUGUGGCCUCCCCUGGUGGCCUCUGCCUUGGUUUUCACGCCCCAUGCGUAUCUUCUGUUUCGGAAAAAAUCUUUUCGGACGUUUUAUUACGUUUGGACUCCGUUUAAUAUUCUCCUCUGAAAAGGGUCAAAAACACGAGAAAAACAGGAACUGGCACUUGGCACUUAGUUAAUAAGUCAGUCACAAAAAAGAUAUAAAAGGCAUACAAAACAUCCAAAGUUUGACAAGAUAAUAGCAUGGAACCAUCAAAAAUUAUAUAUACGUUGGAGACGUAUCACUUCGUACGAAGGAGGAGUCACCUUUUUAUUGCUAUCAUCAUACGCCGCCUGGUAUUUGUUUAAGUCUAGGCUGGCUGCUAGCUGAGUCGCCGCGGAGCGAGACUCUUUCACACAAUUGUGGUAAUCCUCUUCGGUGAACUCCGACUCGUCGUCUUUCAAUUCUGGGAAACCGGCACCUACCUCCUCUGGCUUAAGUUCGGGAGCAUAGGCCAGACACCGGAUUAGGGUGGUCAGUGCUCCUUUNNNNNNNNNNNNNNNNNNNNNNNNNNNNNNNNNNNNNNNNNNNNNNNNNNNNNNNNNNNNNNNNNNNNNNNNNNNNNNNNNNNNNNNNNNNNNNNNNNNNUUAGGCCCCAAAUUGACUUGAAUUUCUUUCACGCCAAUAUCAUCACUCAGUUAGGGGUGAUUCAUCUCACUCUUCUUAUGCACCAUACACUUAAGCCACCAUCUGCUGUGGAAAAACUCAAGUCGCCAAACCACUUCUUGUUGGCGCCUUCUUAUCCCUUGAAUCUCGGAAGAGAUGAUGACGUAAUCUCCAACGGAUCCUUCGGUAUCGCUAUCCCAAAAAUUUCGGGGCGCCAUCAUGGCGAAUCUUUAUCUUUUGGCAGUUCCCGCUCGUGGCGCCUCGAUCCUAGCGCCCGACCUGAUAAAUAGGCGGGAGGAAGGGACAGGGCACAUUUCACCUACCCAUCUUGUCGCCCUUCUCUUCCUCGCCGUCGCACCGAGAGCCUCAUCGCCACCCAAGAGCUCCGCCGCCACCCAAGGACUUCGAUGUCGUCCGAAAGCUUCGACGCCACUCGAAAACUUCGUCGCCGCCGAGCACCUCGUCGUGGUCGAGCAUUUCGUCGCCGUCAAAUGCCUCGUCGCCGUCGAGCACCUCGUCGCCGCCCGAGAUCUUCGUCACCGUCCGAGAUCUUCGCCGUCGUCCGGAAGCUGGUGAACGCGCAACGCUCGUGGCGAAUCCUUCUUCGGACGCCUCCAGCCGC
rnacentral:lncRNA from 1 species